UAGCCUCAAAGUUUCUUUGAUCACUGACCUUAGGUAUUGCAGUCGUUGAAUAUCAGUUUCUUCAAUCGUGUUUUUUCCUCUAAAAGCAUUCCUUAUUUCACUCUGUGCCUUAGCCAUUACACCUGGAUUUCUGAUCAUCUCGGACAUCGCCCACUCCACCGUUGUGGAUGAAGUUUCAGUUCCCCCUGCAAACACAUCCUGCAUCAAAGUCAAUGCCAAAAUUAUUUGUAAGAGACUAACGAUGUAAUGGUAGUAGUAAGCAAAAAAUUGGUUAAACACUCACAGAAAGAACAGCUUUGAUAUUGUCCUUGGUAAGUGGGAUUUGAAGCUCACCGCUUUCUUUAACUCUUAGCAGGACAUCAAUUAUGUCUUCAUUGUCCGAUGCACCUGUUGCUAUUUUUGUUCUUGCUAAGUUGUCCAUAUGCUGAUCAAUUAUUUUGUCCAGAACUUUAUCUAGCUUAUAGCGGAUAUUUAGCAUUUUAUUCUUCACCGAAAGGAAGGGAUGAAGAAUCUUGAACGAUGGUAACAGAUCAGAAACAUCGAAGGCACUUGCUAUGGAAGAUGAUUCCUUGAUUAGCUGAAAGAAUGCAAAAUGAUCGUCAUUGCUUACUUUGCCGAAUGCUGCUCUGUAGAGAACCGCACUUGCGUAUGAAGACAUCUUUUCCGUUACAUCAAUUGAUUUUCCAGCAUUAGCCAGAGCCUUAAUCGAUGAGACAAGAUGCAAAGCCUCCUCUUGCCGAAUAGAUCCACAUGAUCGGACACUUUUAGAACUAAGGAGUUCCAAGGUGCAUAUUUUGCGCAUUUGUCUCCAGUAAUCACCAUAUGGACAGCAAGCGAUGUCCGAACAAUUAUACAACAUGAUCUUUCCCGCUAGAGUUUCUCCACGAUUUGCAAAGGCAAGAUCAUGAGUUUUCAUAAUCUCUUUUGCUAAGCGGGGCGAUGUUACCACAAUCGAAGAAAUUUCACCUAGCUGAAUGUGCAUCAGAGGUCCAUAUUUUUGAGCUAAUUUUCUGAGAGCAUGAUGCGGUGGAGAACCUGACAAAUGAUGCAUAUGUCCUAUAAUAGGUAGUUUCCAUGGAGAUGGUGGUAGUUUCUGGGCUGUUUUUGAUCUCUUCAAUACCUUGAUCAAAGUUAAAACAAAGGCUAUGAACAGAAAGAAAGCAGUGAAGUUGAGGGGUAGAUCCAUUCUUUGGCUCUCUUGCUCUCUUUGCAGUUUGCACUACUUUACGACCUUUUCUACUCACAAAAACACAUAUUAAUACAGUAGGUAUAUGGAUUACUAUAGAAACUUACUACAUAUAUUCAUGAGGGUACAAGUUACUUUCUUAAGAGUUAGUUCUUAAUUAGUUAUCUUAAUUAUCCAGCACAACUUCUAUGUCAUAUAGUCUUUGCCAAGUUGUACUGGUCAAAUAUUGUUGGUCAAACGUCAACAUCUGCACAAAUUGAUAAAUAGUACAAGUAUGAUAAACUUAAAUAAUCACUGAGAAUUAAAUAAAGUGUCAGAUCAUGCAAGUGUGAUAAUCACUGAGAAUUAAAUAAAGUAGUUUGGCUAUCAGCUGAAGUGUCUCACAAAUAAUGAAUUCCAAAGUGUUGACAGCAUUGAACUGUUUCGAAUCUCUUGCCGUUUUGUUGACGUAAGCUAUAAACGAGGAAUAGGACAAAAAACAAAGCAAUGAAGUUGAAGGGAUGUUGCAUUAUUGCUGCCUGUAUUUUUCAUUUUGGCAGCGUUGAUUCUAAAGCCUUUGUUGACAAAACAGGCACGUAUCAUUUUCACCGGGGAAAUCAUAAGGUGUAUAUUGGCCACAUUUAGAAUCUAGAAUAGGAACAAAAUUGUUGACACUGAAUUAAUUAUUUAAAUAUUAUAUUGGUUAAUCCCAACUUACAUCGUGCCGCCUGUGAUUAAAACUGUAAUACUUUCUAGGAAAAAUGGCCAAUUUCGUCCAUAAACAUUUUUACUAGAGCUAAUUUAGUCCAUAAGUUUUAUUUUUAGCCAAUUUGAUACAUAAACUUAAUUUUUGGGUCCAAUUAAAGUCCUCUGCGGCGGUGCCACCGCAUAGAAGCGAUUUGGCUCUUAAUUUAAUAAUUAAACAAGGGCAUUUUGGAAACUUUGUGUACUGUUCUCCUUCCACCAUCAAAGGCAAUCUCCUCCAUCAACCAUCAAACUCCACUAUCCGCCAACCACCUCCUCCUUCCUCCCCCACCCUCCUCCUCCUUUUCUCCUCUUCCCCUAUUUUUUUCAUCAACAUCUCGCUCCUACUUCUCUCGCCCAUCCCCUUUUUCACCACCCCUUGCUUCUCCCUCACCCUCAGGAGUUUGGGUCAAAGAGGCAGCACAUAAUUAAGAAACCCAAUUCAUCAAUUUCAUGUUUAGAAUUUCAAAUCAUCUAUAAGGUAAUCAUAACAGGACCAUGGCAAACGUCAAAGUAAUGUAAUGGAACCUCAUGAUCUCUUUUCAAGGUGUACCAGACUCAUCAUGGUUGCUUAAAAAUCGUAUACUUCCUUUCCAUGAUUCAUUGUACAAAAAGACCAAUAUCUUGAGCAAAUGUGCAAUCCUUUCUAUACUAAUCUCUUGACCAGUACCGUCAUUGACUUAAAUAUGUGAUGGAAAUAGCUUAUAAAAGAUAACACUAUAAUAACUUUGGGAAACAUAUUCUUUUAAAGCCGGUUAUGCCAGUGGUGAUCACCUUUGCAGCAAGAAAAUGGCGACAGUGAUUGGAUGCUAGAGUUUUCUUCUUAUUGCAAAUUCUUUCUUGCAAUGAUGAGACGGUCAGGAAUGAUUUAGAAAGGGCUUAUUCGGAUUGUUUAUAUGAUGGGGAAAAUGAAGGGAAAGGAGUAGUGGGAAAGAAAUGCUGGUGAAAGGGAUACAGGGGAGAAAAGGAGAGGAGGUAGAAGUGGAAAAAGAAUGGUGGGGGAAGAAGGAGCAGGUGGGUGGCGAGAUGGAGUUUGGUGGUGGAGAGAGGAAAGUUAUGGAGGAGUGGAAAAGGUAGUGACAAGUAACAGUGUCGAAGGAGGUGGAACGGUGGCCGGGUUGACCGAGGCAAGGGGUGGUGGAGGAGAAGAGAGGGGAUGAGGUAGAGAAGGGGGCUGGAAACUGAUUAAAAAUUUUAAAAAUACCCCCAAAAACUUUUAAAUUUUAAAAAUACCUCAAAAAUUAAUAAUUUUUUUUGGUUUACUUGGUUUUUAUUACAACCUACAUCCAAAAUUCCUAAAAUACCCCUAUUUAGUUAUUAAAUUAAGAGCCAAAUCAUUUUUAAGUGGUGGCGCCGCCGCAGAGGGCCUUAUUUGGACCCAAAAAUUAAGUUUAUGUAUCAAAUUGACUAAAAAUAAAACUUAGGGACUAAAUCAGCUCUAGUUAAAAUAUUUAGGGACGAAAUUGGUCAUUUUCCCUACUUUCUAUUUUUAAAUGUUUCAAAAUAUUCAAAUACUGAAUUUGUGCGGAUAAGAUUAGAAAGAAAAGCACAACAUCACAUUCAAACCACUAUUUUUAAAAAAUUGGAUUCUCGAAACAUUACAAAAUAAUCUUAGAAAUAGGAGGGAAUAACAUUUAACUGAUCUUAGAAGUCAAUUAUUUUGCCAUUCUCAUUCUUAUGGGGAUCUUUUUUUUAAAUUGGCUGGUGUUGGUGUUACUAAUGCCAGGGCAAUUUUCUUUUCAAAUGAUGGAUUUACCCUUUAUAAUUGGACAUUUUUUUAUUUUUACCAUUGAAGGUUAUAUUUGACAUUUUUGGAAGAUAAUUGUUAUGACCAAAAUGAUUAAUGACAUAUUUUCUGAAUGUCGCGCACCAUUUUUGAAAUAAAAGGAAAGGUGUUUAAACAUGAGUUUUUUAUUUUGGAAAAUAAAGAAAAAUGGCCUAAAAUGGGAUGCAAUGGUUUGGGCCCAAAAUAAUAGUCUAAAAAAGGGUUUUUAGAAAAAAAAAAUCGUCACUUGAUAUCGAGUUUAGAUUUACUAAAUUACCCAAAAAUAUUUUUAAAAAAUUAAAAUAUAUAAACCCUUUUAAACGACUCCAAAUCUUUGAAAAUGAGAGAAGAGGGUUUGGGAGUUGUGGUUGAAGAAAUGAAAGACAAAGAUUUGAUCGACUCAAAUCUAAAGCACCCUUUCAACCUAACCAAGAUUAAUUGCAAAAUUUAGUAAAAAAUUUUCAUAAUCCAACCUCUAAACUUAUUACAUUUGGAUGUUUCUAUAUAGAUACAAACCUAAAUCUAGAGGAUAUCGGGAGAAAUGAAAUGUUUUUUCAAAAUUUAAUUGAUACCAAUCACAUUAAUUGUGAAACCCAAGAAUAAUCCAUUGAAGAAGUCACAAAAAUACAAAAGAUGAUAUUCGAAGAAAAGAAAAUUAUGAUAUAUAGAUAAAUAUACAUGACCUAAAAGAGAGGAAUGCAACAUAAUGGAUACGAAAAACUAAAAUUCAUGACACAAUUUUCCUUCUUAUAGAGGGAUAAUAGCGUGCUAAGGCUAAGAAGUCAUACUCGCCUAUUUCCCAUAUUCGAAGGGUGACUCUUCUAAUUUAGACAAGCAAAUGGACUAACCUAAUUUUCUAAUUAGCUAAAUGAAAUGCAAGUUUAAAUGAUAUGGUUUGCGUAUAUAGGGAUAAGGGAAUACUAUAAGAGAACAUAUCAUGCAAAUGAAAAUAAACUAAAAUAGAAAAAAUGCAUUAGAUGCAAUAAAUGUCACACCAAAGUAUAAAUCUAGCAUGUAGAUGGUCUAAGGGUCUAAUAUUAGAUUAACCCAUUUCUAUAAGUUCUUACUAGCGUGGACUAGUGACAAAUUGGGGAGAAAAGUCAUAAUUAGCAUUGGACUAGUGUGGGUGACAUCAUGAACUCAUUAUAAACACAUAGCACAUAAAGUAUAUAGAGCACGUAAAGUACAUAAUCAAAACAAAUAAACACAUAAAGUACAUAUAGCACGUAGAGUACAUAGCACAUAGACAUAAUAUUUAUAUGCAAAACCCUAGGAAAAGUAAAUAAAACACAUAAGCACAUAAACACACAAGUACACAAGCACAUAAAAGCUAACUAUUCCAUUGGGAGCCCUAACUAUAAUUUAAAAGGGGAAAUAUAAGAUAAUAAACAUAUCUAACUUAUCUAUUAUCUUUAUCUAACUAAUUACAAUUCUUGCAAAAAUAAAACCUAUCUAUUACAUUAUCUAUCUUAUUAUAUUUCUUGCACAAGAGGAUAUAACCUAUCUAUUACAAUAUGGGCAUUUAAAUACCGCUCAAACAAUCAUAAGACUUAAAUUAAACAUAUAUAAAAUGAAUAAAAGUUUAAAAUAAAUAAAUAAAAGAAAAACACGUAACACAUACAAACAUAUAGGAGCGCAUAAAAAGAAUUUAAAGGAUUAUAGGGGUAUCUCCCAUUUAAAUUAGCAGCUAAGUGAGGGGAAAGGAGAGUUGUCUAUUUUUUCAAAAUCAACAAAUGGGUCAAUGAACCAAUUUAAUUGACAAUUAAUUAUUAAAGAUAAAUAAAAUUAAUUUAAUAAAUUAACACUCCAAGCAAUGCAUAAAGAAUCAAAAAGCCAUAGGGAAUCUUAAUAAUAAAAGCUACAAAGAUUCUUAGGGACUAAAAUGAGAAAAUCAAAAGUUGUUGGGGGAAAAUGAAUUUAUUAAAAAUUAGGGGAUAAAAUGAAAAUUCUGCCAAAAUAAUUUUUACUACCCUAUUAUUCAUAAUAUAAUCAGAUUUGAACUAAUCAACCACCAAAAAAUGAUUUUGAGCCAUUGAACCAAAAACUAUUUGCAUUAAUUUCUAAAGUUGCCAAAUUGAAAAUCUAAAUUUAGCAAAUUUAUUUAAACCCCAAUUAUGCUUAAAAAAAUCAGAAUUAAUUCACCCAAAAUGUGCAUAAAACAUAUAAAUAGAGAUCAAGAUUUUAAAAGGAAGAAAUUUAUUCAUUUUCACAAAUUUUGGGCCAUAUCAUAAUUAUGCAAAUAUUAAGGACCAAAAAUGCAAAUUUCUUAUGACCUAUUCGAAAUCAAAACCUACGAAAAUCCUACAAUAGCAUGAAUGAACAGUAUCCUCUUUCUUUGUUUUUUUUUUUAACAAAAUUUUUCAGAAAACAAGAUUCUUACAUUUGAUAAACAUGUCCCUUACCUUUGUAUAACCCCAAAAGGAAAAAUGGUCAAAUUCGUCCUUAAACUUUUUUUUAAUGUCAAUUUAAUUCUUAAUUUUUGUUUUCGGCCAAUUUGAUCCCUAAACUUAUAUUAUGGUUUCAAUUAAGGAUUUUUACGGCGGCGCAACCAAAAAAAUCGAUCAAACUCCUUAUUAACCAAUUAAACAUGAGUAUUUUAGGAACUUUAGAUAUCUCCUCCUCCUAUUAUCAACCUCCACCGUCUGCCACCCAUCUCCUCCUUCUUCUCUCACCCCACCUUUCUUUUCCCUCCCGCAUUCUUCUCUUUUCCCUCCCUCUAUUGUUUGCCUGUUCUUAGCCUGGUGGUUACUGACAUGAUAGAGGGAGGGGAAAGAGAGGUGGACUGAGAGAAUGAGGAGACGGGUGGCAUGCAGGCGAGGGAAAAAAACCAUUCCUAGUGUUUGCCGGGUCUUAGCGAGGGAAAAAGACAAAAAGAAAAAAAUCAUAACAAAGAGAAACAACUCAGCUUCUUGGUUGGAUCCAAUGCCUAAAUAGCGGGCCAGGCAAUUAAUUUCAAAAAAUCUUGCGAUAAGAAAGUCACCAGUAUCACUCUCCUGGAUCUGAUGCUUAGCUGAUUUUUCAGGCCCUUUUGCUACUGGUAAGUGGAGCAGCAGCUGCUACUUUACUUUUACUCUCAUUUUUUCCCCCAUUUUUUCUUUUGGUUGGUAAUAUUUUUGGAGGAGUAAUUGGAAUUGGGAGUUUUUGGUUUUUUUUGUGUUUGGGGGGGGGGGUAGUUUGUUCCGGCAUGCGCACUCUAUCCCAAAACUGUACGCAAGUGUUUUGUGGCAAUUUCUUCUUUUGCCAAAGUAAUAAACAAAAAAAAAACAGAACUCUUAUUUGAGUUCUGUGUUUCCAAUUAACUCGUUCAUUAGAUCUUUCCUUCAAAUCCUAUUAUCUAAAUGGACACAUGGUUGGAUUACAUUUAUCCAUUCUUUUCCUUAAUCAUCAUUUGUUUCCCUGUUUGAUCAUUCUGAGACGAGAAAAACUAGUUAUUGCGAUUGGAUUCCUUCAAGAUGGAAUUUUGCUGCUUAACCAACAACUUAAGCUAACUUGAUGGCAAAUGGUUCCCACUUCCCACAAUCCCCAAUCCCUCGAAGAGAAGGUCGGUAAAUGGGAUUUCAAAACUUUUAAUUGUUCGGUGAUGAAUAAAGCAUGAAGAAGUCAUGCCGCAAUGGAUUGAAUAUGAACCAGGCAAAUUGUUUGCUAGGACUAGGCAAACACUAGGAAAGGCAGGCAUAAUUACUGACAUGAUAGAUGGAGGGGAAAAAGAGGGGGGAUGAAGAAGAUGAGAUGGGUGGCAAGCGGUGGAGAUUAAUGAUAGAGGGAGGAGAUAUCUAAAGUUCCUAAAAUACCCCUAUUUAAUUGGUUAAUAAGGAGUUUGAUCGAUUUUUCUGGUUGCGCCGCCGUAAAAAUUCUUAAUUGAAACCAUAACAUAAGUUUAGGGAUCGAAUUGGCCGAAAACAAAAAUUAGGGAUUAAAUCGAUAUUAAAAAAAGUUUAGGGAAGAAUUUGGCCAUUUUUCCCAAAUUUUUUUAACUUUUUUCAAAUUUACCCUCUCAUUUAAAUUUUUUCGAUAACGUAAGCACCGUGCGUAUAGCAUGGAUAUUCACGCUCGUUUAUAAUUAUGCAAAAACUUGUGUAGAUUUGAUCUACAAUCUCACACGUAGACCACUUGGUCUACAUUAAGCCACAUCAUCAAUCAUAAUUAUUUGUCCAACUAUAUCAUCUUCCCUCAUAAAAGCUAACCAUGGUUAAAAUUGUUGCAACACUAAAACUCCCAAGCUCACGUUCCAGACACGGUUUCCCCAUCAUAGCGAAGUGCCGAAUAUUUAUUUAAUCUAGGCGCCUCUGUCAUCAAAACCACAACCAUUUUCACAAUCAAAUUUUGGAAUCCACGGACUAUAAGCUUCUCAUAUUAGUCUUACAAGUUCUAUUAAAAUCCUUUUCUUUUCUUUUUUUUGUUUUUUGCCUUCCUCUGAUGAUUUGACCAGCAUUUAACGGCUCUGGUGACUUGUGGCCAAGCUCCAAAAAAUCCAACUAUUUUCAACAUCACUGGAAAAGCAGGAAUGGAAGUUGCUGUGCAAAGUGAAAACGAACAAAUUUCACCUACUCAAAAAAUAAUAAUCAUUUAUACAAUAAUAAAACCUUUGCAAGUAGUUAAUUUGGUGUUAACUUUACGUGUUUCCAAAUUUAUCUUUAUCUCUAUUAUCCAUCAACUUUUAUCUAUACAAUAUAUAAAGGGCAAACUUCAAAAUUUACCUUUAUCUCUAUUAUUCAUUAACUCUUAUCUAUACAAUACAUAAAGAGAGAGUGUCAUUGUGUGGUAUAACACACAGUGUCAUUCUUUAAAAUUUAUAAUAUACCCUUAAUUAUAAAGACAAAUUUGUCUCAACAACAGACAGUUAUUUGAAUCAACAGAUAAUUAUCUAUUCAAUUGUCAACUAGCUACAACUUUCUCGUGCUAAUUCGAGAAUUCUCUCUACUUCUAGAAUAUUCAUUUCGCGUAUGAUUAUCUACAUUAUAAUGAAUUUGAUCCAUAAAAUUCAUAAAAAGUUUUUUAAAUAGAUAAUUGUGAUAAAUAUAUUUUUUUGUUAAUUGCACACAUGUUAAAGUGUGCGUCAAGCACUAGUAAUAAUAAAACCACUAUUUACCUCCCUAGAUCCAAUCACAAAAUGUCAAUGACAAAAUCAAGCAAACAUGGUAGCUUAAAAAAAAUAGAAAAUUAGCCCACUAAACUAAUGAAUUUACACAAAAAAAAUAACCAAUAUAUAUCUUGAUGUAAAAAAAAGAAUAAUAGAGCAAGGAUUGAUAGAGGACGAGUUGCAGAAAUGAGACAAAGAACAAACACAAAAGGUGGGGUUUGUUGAAAUGGAAGAAGAAAAGAGAGAUGAUUCCUAAUUGUUGUCCAUGAAAAAUGUGUUUGGGGAAAUCAAUGGAUUUGGUUAUGUGUGGGCAAAAAAAUAGGAGGUAUAGGAACUGUUUCGUUGGCGAGGGGAAGACGGAAGAGAUGAGAGGCAGCAGAGUGAGAGGGUUCAUGAAGGAAGAGCUCAUUUAAACAGGAAAUGAAGGCCUUGUUCGAUGAAAAAGUCAGAUCUGAACUUUUGAGACACUGUAGAAAUUUUGGCGAUGAUGGAAGACAAGAGGAAUACUCUUUAAUUCUGAUUGGACUUUACCGUUCAGAAUGGACUUUACCAUUUUGAAUGGAUCAAAAUUUGGUGAAUUCUUUAGAGGGCGAAAAACCCCAGCGGCUACUAAACUAUUGUCUGGAUCAUGCUUUGGUCAUUGAACUAUUUUUCGUCAAUAAUUGGCUAUUAAACAACUUAAUCAGUAAACCGUAGACCAUUUCGUCAGUAAUUGCUCUUAAUUUCUGAAAUUAGCAUUACACGUGACAAAGCGCUAGGGCAAUUUUGUCCAGCAAUUUACUGACCGUUUAUUUACAUAAACCCAUCAACUGAAAAGAAAAAAAGAAGUGCAAGCCAAUUAAACUAACUUUCAUUCUCAAAAUUGUUGUAAAUAAUCUGGGAGCUCAAGCUUAGGGUUAUGAAGAUCGAAGAGAAGGGAAAAUCGUGGUGAACCUAUGUAUUGGAUCAUCAGGAGAAGAGACAUCGACAUUGAUCCAUAUGAAAUUUACAUUAAGUUUUUUGUUUGUUAAAAAUCAUGUAAAUGAACUAAAAUUAUAGUUUAACCUAAAUGUAAUGGGUGUACUACUCAAAUGGAUGAAAAUCGUGGAGUACUACAUAAGUUUGUCUUUGAUAUCGAAGGUGCUUACUUGUGGGUUGUGAAUAUGUAGCAGUAUUAUGGGGUUUAAAUGUUAGGUUUUCAUCCAACUGUUAGUUGUAAAAGUGGCAAAUUUUGAACUAUAUUACAUCAACAAGUGUUUUUUUCAGCCUUGUUUUUUCAAAUGAAGUGAUUCCAUUUUUUCCCAUUUCAUUGCAGUGCGUAAUUCUAAGCUAUUCAGUAUUAGAAUGUUUCACUGUGGUAGAUUUAGUGGGCAUCAGUAUAAAACAUACGUUGGUGGUGAAAUAGAUUAUGUUGAUGUGUGUAAUGCAGAGAGAAUGUCUGUCCAUGAGAUAAAUGCCAUGGUUGAGGAAUUAGGACAUCAUGGUUCAAUGCUCUAAUAUUACUUAGAACAUGGGAGUGAUUUGAAUAAGGGAUUAAGAGAGUUACAAGGAGAUGCAAAUAUAAAUGUAAUGUUCAAAUGGGUGUAUGAGCACAAACUGAUAGAUGUUUACUGUGACCAUAGGUCAAUACAUGAAAUUCUUGAAAUCCAGUCAAAUUCCCCACUGUUAGGUAGUAAAAAAAACAAGGGUUGUAAUUGAAGAAAUUGAUGGACAUAGUAGUGCAGUUGUAGAUGAACAUGGCAGUGGAGUUGUAGAACUUGAUCAAUAAUUGGUCGUUAGAAAAAAUCUUUUUGGUAGGUCUUUUGUUAGUGCAAAUAUGACUGCCCCUGGACCAACAAUGGGAGGUGCAAGUAGAGGUGAAGGUGUAAGAGUAAGUGUUGUCAUUGAGGGAGAAACUAGUGGGACUGGUGUAAAGAGUGGGAGUAUGGGAGAUAAAGCUGAUGUGAAUGCAAGGGAAGUUGAAGAAGAUGAUAAAGAUGACAGUAGCUCGAAAGGGGAGCAUUUCACUGAUGACGAAGAUUUUUGCAAAGAUGAUCAGAUGCUUGGGAGUGAAAGACCAACUCCCACAGUUGAAAUUCCCCCUCCUAUUACGAGGAGAACUAUUGAAUCUAUACUCCAUGAGAGCUAGGAUGUAAAUGGCUUGGAAAGUGGUCCACAUGGAGGUGGUCAACAUGAUGCCCAAGUUGAAAAACAAUCACAGGCAACUGAUGGAGCAUCUGGUGGUAGCAAGAGAGCCAAGAAAAAGUAUGCUAGAAAAACAACAAGAGGGAAAAGAAAGUGGACAGCAAGAGGGGAGAAGACAUCAUCAGCACAGGCUGACCAUAACACAUCUUCACAGGCUGCUCAGAAUACAUCACAGGCAGUUGCUAAAGAAAUGGAAGAAGCUGAUGAUAAAGAUGUGUUGCAUGACAACAUGUUGAAAGAUGACCUGCAUAGCACUGAUGGUUCUUCUGAUGAAGAUGAUGAAGUGCUGAAGGGAAUAUAAUAUGUUGACUUCAAUGUUGAAAAGGACAUGAGAAAUCCACAUUUCCAGGUUGGGAUGCGAUUUGCAUCAUCAACUGAGUUCAAGGUCGCAAUCUAGAAUUAUUCUAUUGCUAAUAGUAGAUCUGUUUGGUACUACACUAAUGAAGAACUCAGAGUAAGGAUAAGGUGCAAGGAUCCAUGCAACUGGGAGUGUUAUGCUUCUCAAGAGAAGGCACUUGGGUCGAAUGAUUUGGUCAUUAAGACCCUUUAUGAUGUACAUGAAAACUGCAAUCAUGCCUGGAAAAAUAAAAUGGUGACUGCUAAAUGGGUUGCUGGGUGAUACAAGGACAGAAUUAGGGUCAAUAUGAACAUGUUGACUUUGGUCGAUCAAUCCUUGGUUUUGAUGAUUAACAAACCAAAAUGUAGAUUUGGUCUAAUGUUUUUAUGUGAGAAAUUUGUUAGAAUCAGGUUCAAUGGUGUCAAGGAAAGAAAACCAACCAAAUGAAGAAGCAAAAUCAGGUCACUCAUGUCGGACGGCCAAAAGGAAACUAUCGGACGUCCGAAAGGAUGAAGAACAUCAAGAAGAAAACUCUGUCGGACGCUCGUGAGGAAGCAUCGGACGUCCGGAAGGAUCGGACGCACGCCUCGGACGCACAUCGAUCGCAUCGGACGUCCGAGAAAUUUCGCAAAGAUUUGAUGACUCUCUGCCUACGUUCGGACGCAGGGUUCGGACGUCCGACAGGUGGUUCGGACGUCUGACAGGCACCUGUCGGACGUCCGACAGGCCAACGGCUAGUUUUGACAGCAAUUAAUAUUUGACCGUUGGAGAGUCUUUUGGAGCCAUUUCUCACCUUCUAUAAAAACCCCAAAGCACAAGAAGACUAGAGACUUUUGCCAACACAAAAUACAAGCUUACAAGUGAGAUUUUUGAGUAGAAAGAUUCUUUGUUGGUUGUAUAAGGGGUUGGGGAAGUUGGGUUGUGAGGUUGCUCAAGUGAAGGUUACUCUCUUGGAGUAGUAAAACCUUGGUGAAGGUGAACCAAUCACUUGGAGUGGUAAAACCUUGGUGAAGGUUGCCUCAUUUGUAUAAAAUAGUUCUUAAUUGGGUGAGUGAUCUUUCAAGUGUAGGUUGUUGAGGGUUAACUAGAAUAGUUGUAAAACUCCUUGGCUCAACCAAAGAGUAUUUGGGGUGAGGAAGGAGUGAGCCUUCACUUGUACAUCUUGGUUAGCAUCGCCAUCAAUUGAAGAGACUAUUGGUUUGAUAUUUGGUUUGCAUUUCUUAUGUUUUCUCUUUAAUUAAGUUUUCUUUAUUGUGCUUAAAUUUGAUAUAUCUUUGUGCAUCAUUGUGAAUUUGUUUGUACUCAUUGGGUUGCACCGGGCUCUUACAGAACAUUCCAGUCCAUUCUUUGAGGCAGACAGUGUAUGAGGAGUACAAGAUACAAGUAUCAAAAAUAAUAGCUAGAAAUGCUAGAGGUAUAGCUGUUGACAAAAUCAAAGGUUGUGCAGUUGAAUAGUAUAAGCAUUGUAAGGAUCCAAGACAACCAAGUGAAAGAGAUAAACAAUUUAAAGAUCACAAAUGUAACAGUAAAUAAAAAGGAAAGGAUUGCAAAUCAAUUAACUACCCAACUCCUCUUGAGCUUGUAGAUUAAUUGAAACAAACUACUUCAAGUUGAUGAAUUACAAUCAUUCUUGUGUACAAAGGAAGGUUCACCUCUUCCUUGCCCCGAACUCCACUCGGUCAAGCCAGGACGUUUUACUAUCCCUCAGGACAACCCUCACAGAGCUACACUCAUGAAAUAUUCACUCACAAAUGAAAAGCUUACAAAAAACCUCACACCACUAAAACUACAAAUCUUCUUUGAAAAGUAUUUUCUCACUAAAAUCUCUCUAGAUCUUUUGUAUUUUCAGUGUGCCAAAGUUAUUUGAAAUAUCUGACCAACCACUAUUUAUAUAGAACCAAGAAAGUGCCUCAUAAAUGCUUCCAAUGGAUAGAAAGUAGCUGAACAGUCAACUAUCCGUUGGCAGUGUCGGACGUCCGAUAGCCCUGUUUUAUGCGUCCGACAGCAGGCAGAGAGUUUAACAAAUUUUCUUCAAUUCUUUCGGACGUCCGAUAGGCUGGUUUUCUGCGUCCGAAAAUACUCAAUGGUUGUCGGACGUCCGAUGCAGUCUUUUUGAGCGUCCGACAGCUUUCAGAAACUUUUGUCUUCUUUCAAUAGCACUUGUUCAUGAAAUCACAUAACUUCAUAACUGAAAAUAUUUCUUAGAAAGAUAUUAGUAUCAUUCAUUUGUUUUGUAAACAUCAAAAGAUAGGGAUCAAGAUCAACAUUCUCCUCCUUUUUGAUGAUGACAAAACAAUGGAUGAAAAGAAACAAAAGUAAGUAUAAGCUCCCCCUCAAUCAUCGCAACCAAAACUUUUAAGAGCCAAACUCAUAAUCUCAGAAUAACUCCUCCUUACACAUUGCAUCCAUCUCUCUCCCUUUUUAUCAUCAUAAGAUGAGAGUAAUAAUCAGCAACCAUAAUCCAACAACAAUAACAGAGAAUCUAAUAAUCCAAACAAAAAACAGAGAAAUGAUACCAGAAUUCAGCAAUACCAACAUACCAACAUACCAACAUAUCACAGAGAGAUUAGCAAAUCAUCGUUAGAUCAUAAUAGUUCUUUUCUCUCCCUUUUUGACAUCAUACAGAUUCAGUAGUAUUCAAAAAUAUCAGCGAAAACUCAAAUCAAAGUAUCAGAAAUAUAAAAAAAUUUAUAUAUUGUGAACAAGAAUCACUGCAAUGGUUAACAAAAUCUCCUACUUAUUAAAGUUAGCAUCAUGUCUAACUAUCCACAUGCAUUUCAUGCCUCUUCUCAUAUUCUUUCUCACAUAACAAUCACUUUUCGUGUGACUUUUUUGACAACAAAAAUUACACAUAAUCAAAGAGUUAUUUACAUGAAUAGAUUUAAUAAAUCUUACUUGUCUUCUCCUAUGGAUAGCAAAUUCGUUGGAAUUAGAAUUCAACCUAUUUUUUUGAAAACAGACUUGUUUCUUGUGUUUAAGCAACACAUUUAGACCAUCCAUUCUUCUUUUCAAAUUACCUUGUUCCAUUUUGAACAAUUCACAAAACUUUAUUUUUCUAUCAAGCUCUAAGUGUAAAGCAGUCUCACUUUUUUUGAAGUAAUUAUUUUCAGCUUUCAGCUUUUUAUUUUGUUAAAAAAGAUUUGCAUUAUCUCGAAACAAAAAAUAAUUUUCUGUUUUAAUUCUUUGUUUCUAGCAUAAGAUUCUUUCAAACUAUCAUGCAAUUUUAUAAUGAAAGAUUCAAGAUCAUCAUCAGUUUUAUCAUCACUCUCAAAUUGAGAGUUACAAGAUGUUACCUCAUCAUCUCCAAUGGCCAUAAAAGCCAAUUGAGCAGAUUCUUCAUCCUCUUCAAUUUCACCAUCGGAGUUGCACUCAUUCCAUGUGAAUUGAAAUUUGUUGAAUCUUGAUUUUCUUUCUUCUUUCUUCUUCAUCACUGGGCACUCACUUGCAUAGUGUCCAGGUUGGCCGCAUUCAAAGCACUUAUCAGUUUACUUUUUGUUAAACUCUAGUUUUCCUUUGUUUCUCAAGUUGUUGAACUGAUUUGGGAGUGAAUUGCUAAGUCCACAUUUUCUGAAUCUUCUCUUGUUGAGUAUUAGUUUGAAGCUUCUUGUGAUGAGUGCGAUAUCAUUGUCAUCACCUUCUGCAUCAUCUUCAUCUAGGGAGGCAGAAUCAUCUUCAUCUUGAGAUGCUUUUAGAGCAAUGCUCUUUCUUACUUUCGCAUCCUCAUCCUCUUGCAUUUUGGACUUAAGUUUCAGCUCAUAAGAGGUUAGAGAAUUAAUAAGAGAUUCAAUAGGCAUAGUAUUCAAAUCUUUAGCUUCCUCAAUAGCAGUCACUUUAUUUUUCCAAUCAUUGGACAAGGCAUUCAGGAUUUUUCUAUUUUUAUCACCAAGAGAAUAUUCUUUUUCUAGCACCUCUAAAUCCUUAAUGAGGUCAUUGAAUCUACAAUACAUCUCAUCAAUGUUUUCAUGAGGUUGUAUCUUGAAAGAUUCAUACUUUGUAACUAAAAUGGAUUUCUUUUGUUCUCUAAUAUUCUCACUACCUUCAUGAAUUUCUCUUAAUUUAUCCCAAAUUUCCUUGGCUGACUUGCAGCCUUUGACUCUAAUUGAUUCAUUUGAGUCUAAGGCACUAUAAAGAACAUUCAUGACUUUGACAUUCAAUGUGAGAUUGGUUCUAUCUUGAACAUUCAACUCAACUCUUGCUUUUGGCCGAAACAAACCUGUAUUGCAUCAAGAAUGUUAGCAUCAUGCGGUCCUUCAUUCACAAUAAACCAUAACUCAAUAUCAAUGGAUUGUAAAAAGAUAAUCAUUCAUUCUUUCCAACUCACAUAAUUUGACCCAUUAAAUAUAGGUGGUCUAAUCAUAGAAUGUCCUUCAAAAAACAUAACAUUAUUGGUUGUCAUUUUUACUCCCAAGCCGAUUGAGCUUAAUCUCAAGGAGACCAAACUCUGAUACCAAUUGUAAGGAUCGAAAACAACCAAGUGAAAGAGAUAAACAAUUUAAAGAUCACAAAUGUAACAGUAAAUAAAAAGGAAAGGAUUGCAAACCAAUUAACUACCCAACUCCUCUUGAACUUGUAGAUUAAUUGAAACAAACUACUUCAAGUUGAUGAAUUAUAAUCACUCUUGUGUACAAAAAAAGGUUUACCUCCUCCUUACCCCGAACUCUACUCGGUCAAGGCAGGACGUUUUACUAUUCCUCAGGACAACCCUCACAGAGCUACACUCAUGAAGUAUUCACUCACAAAUGAAAAGCUUACAAAGAAUCUCACACCACUAAGACUACAAAUCUUCUUUGAAGAGUAUUUUCUCACUAAAAUCUCUCUAGAUCUUUUGUAUCUUCAGUGUGCCAAAGUUAUUUGAAAUAUCUGACCAACCACUAUUUAUAUAGAGACAAGAAAGUGCCUCAUAAAUGCUUCCAACGGAUAGAAAGUAGCUGAGCAGUCAACUAUACGUUGGCAGUGUCGGACGUCCGAUAGCCCUGUUUUAUGCGUCCGACAGCAGGCAGAGAGUUUAAGAGAUUUUCUUCAAUUCUUUCGGACGUCUGGUAGGCUGGUUUUCUGCGUCCGAAAAUACUCAAUGGUUGUCGAAUGUCCGAUGCAGUCUUUUUGAGCGUCCGAUAGCUUUCAACAACCUUUGUCUUCUUUCAAUAGCAAUUGUUCAUGGAAUCACAUAACUUCAUAAUUGAAAAUAUUUCUUGGAGAGAUAUUAGUAUCAUCCAUUUGUUUUGUAAAUAUCAAAAGAUAGGGAUCAAGAUCAACAAGCAUAUAUGGAAAUAUUGUGAGGAGAUUAAGAAGACUCACACUAAUUCUGCCAUGGUAGUCAAGUUCACUCCAUUUAGAGAUCCAAGUUUGAAUCCUAGGUUCAUGAGGUUGUACUGUUGUUUGGGUGCAUUAAAAGAAGGAUUCAAAAUGUGUAGACUUGUGAUUGGACUUGAUGGCUACCAUAUAAAAGGCCCUUACCCUGGUCAACCUUUAUCAGCAGUGGCAGUUGAUCCCAACAAUGGUUGGUAGCCUAUUGCUUGGACCAUAGUGGAGAAGGAAGCUACAGUCCAAUGGAAAUGGUUCUUAUAACUUCUCCAAGUAGAUCUGGAAAUAGAUAAACAGUAUCACUACACUUUCAUCUCUGAUCAACAAAAGGUAAGGAUCUUAUUAUCCAUCAAUUGGUGUGAGGCUUGUGGCUACUUGAAGCAAUAAUUCAUUUCUUUUUGGUGCAGGCAUUGGACAGAGCAUUAUCCAAGGUGCUACCCAACUCUGAGCAUAGAUACUGUGUGUAGCACAUGUAUCGAAAUUUCAAGAAGAAACAUCCUGGAAAGGCACUUAAAGGGAUGCUAUGGUCAACAAUUAGGAGCAGCACAAUUGAGAUGUAUAAAAAAGCUGCUAAGGACUUGAAAGAGUAUGAUAGUGAAGCAUACAAGUGGAUAGAGAAGGCUCCUCGUCCGAUGCAUUGGUGUAAGGCUUACUUUUCUCCUCACACUAAAUGUGUCAUGAUUGUCAACAAUCUAUGCGAGCCUUUCAAUUCACAUAUACUAGAGGCCAGGGAUGAACCAAUUAUAUCUUUAUUGCAGAAAGCUAGAGAACUGAUGAUGGAAAGAAUUCAAAAAAGAAAGGCUGCCAUGACUAGAUAUCCACACUCAACUGGUCCUUUGAUUAGAAAAAUUAUUGAGGACAGAAUUGAAGAGUCUUUCCAGUGGUUCCCACAAUUCAAUGGGAUUGAUGGUUAUCAGGUAAAGUGCCCAACGAAUUCCCAGUUUGCUGUGAAUUUGAAAAAGAAGAGUUACACUUGUCGAAUUUGGGAAUUAUCUGGUUUACCUUGUACCCAUGCCAUUGCAGCAAUUAAGCAAACUGAGAAUGAUCCACAUGAAAUGAUUGCGGAAUUUCACUACAAAAGGUUAUUUUUACAGGUUUAUAAUAAUGUCUUGAAACCCAUCAGUAGCCAACUACUGUGGCCUGAGUCUAGCACUCUUCAACUCGAUCUUCCAAUGUCCACUGUCCAACCUGGGAGGCCAAAAAAGGCAAGGAAAUGAGAUGAGACAGAGGGGAAGAACCAUGGAAGAAAGCUUAGAAAAAAAUGUCACUAUGCAUUGCAGAAAAUGUGUUAAAAUAGGGCACAAUGCUGCAACAUACAAAGAGAUGACUGAGCACCAAAAAUCUGGUCAGCCAAAGAAAAACAAACAACCUGUGAGGAUACAUACAGCUUGUAUUCUAAAUGUCUUACAUGUAGUCUCUAAUCAAUUCAACUUCUAUUUGUACAAGGUUUCAAGAAGAAAACAGCAAGCAAAAGUAGUCUAGUCACAUGGUUUAGAGACCCAAUGGCAACAGCAAUAGCAACAGCAAACUCCAUUAGCUAACCAACCAAGCCAACCAAUCGCAUCUACGACUCAGCAAUCAGAUCUAAUGUCCCAACACCCACUCCACCAUUUCAGCAGUCAAUACCAGUAGCCACCUAUUUCAACAGCCAAUACCAGUAGUUCAGUAGCCAAAUCCAGCAGCUACAAGUUCUAGAUCUGGCAUGAAAUUCAAUAGAAAUGGUAAACAGCCCUUGACUGAUGCUGACAAAGGGAUGAUUAACACUAAUUAUGCCUAUUUGGGAAAGGAACCACCCUUCAAGGUUGGUAGGUGGAAGGGUAGAAGAGGUGCAAAUGCUGGUAGAUCUAGAUCUACAAGAGGUAGAGGUGCAGCUGCAAGUUAGAUGGGAUUGGAUAGAGUUUUAGAGAUGUUGAUGAUGUUGACUGAUAUGUACAUGUGACUUAAUUUUUGACUUAUAAUAGUUUAUUUAAGUGGGGCUAUUAAAAUAGAUGCAUUAAAGUUUAGGGGAUCCGCUUCAUGUUAAUAGUGGAUGACUUUUGUUUUGUUAUGGUGGAUGCCUUUUAUUUUUUAUCCACUGUCUUUUUCCAUGUUUAAAAGAAAGCUGUGUACUUCUGCAAAUUGAAAACUUUUUGGUCUGUUAUUGCUACAGAUAUUACCACCAAAAGCUGCAUCCACUCAACUUUACUACUCUUAUAUUUUCACAAUCACCCAACAACAUUAACCAUCCCUUGAUGGCCAACAUAUGGUCACUCUUAAUAAUAGUCUUCAAAUAGCAGCAGAGACAAUACAACAAUACAAAAACCCAUGUACCGAGAAGAGCUCUUAGGAGAUAGUGCUCUCUGGUCUUGUGUUUUUCCACUUUACUCUCCAAUUUUGAAACUUUAAGUUCCAAUUUUUUAGCUUUACUUUCCCAUCUUCUUGUUGAAGUUUCUAGUUCCUCCAUACUACUUUCUAUUCUAUUCAUUCUUCAGCAAAUUGGGAUCACUUGAGUUGAUCUUUCACACAUUGUUGGAUCAUACCAUUCCCAAAAAGCCACAUCCUCAUCCCGCAAUUUACAUUUUCCAAAACUAAAUUCUCUUGUUAUAACAUCUCCAUUACAAAUCUAACAUCUUACCUCUCCUAAAGUGCAGACCACAUAUCUUCUUGUUGGGUUUCAAUUUGUCCGUGAGGUCUUCAUCGUUACUGUUAAUCCGCAAGAGCAUCUAGGUAUAGGUUUAGGAGAGCGUCUCGACAUUCUUUGGCUUCUUCGAUUUCUGAUUGAUGAUUUAGGGCUCCCAAUUGAGGCCCUAUUUUUUACUCCACAAAAGACCAGACACACUAAACCAAGAUUUUCCCUUCCCUUCUCUUCGAUGGUUUAAUGAAAAUUGAGGUAAACGGUCAAUAAAUUAUUAGACAAAAUUGCCCCUGUACUUUGCCACGUGUAAUGCUAAUUUCAGAAAUUAAGAGCCAUUACCGACGAAAUGGUCACAUGUUUACUGAUUAAGUUAUUUAGUGGCCAAUUAUUAAUGAACAAUAGUUCGAUGGUCAAAAUAUGAUUCGGACAAUAGUUCAGUGGCCGCUGAAGUUUUUUACCCUUCUUUAGAAUAUAGCUCCUUUAAAAAAAACCCAUCAAAUAUUGCUCCUUAGAAUGCGUGUAUCCUCCUGUACUCAUUGUGCCACGAGAAAUAUUUAAUAGAUUUUUUUUUGAAAGCAGCCAUGGUUUAAGGAAUUCGCCAAGAGCCGUUUAGAAUUGGAAUUCAGCAAUAGAAACCAUGAUGUAGCUUAAAUUAGACCACAAGGUCUAUAUGUGGGGUCAUAAUCCGGGUUUAUCGAAAUAUUUGCCCUACAAUUGUAGUCCAAGAAGUGCGCCCAAGCAAAUUAUUUUUGUCGUACUUUCUAUUUUAUAAUGUCUUAAAAUAUUUAUUCGAUUGAAAAAAUUAAAGUAUCUUUUAGAUUUUCAUUUUGAUACAGUCCCUUCAUCUAAUUAUAUGCAUGUUAUCAUUUAAAUUUAAAUUUUAAAUUUAUGAAAAUAAAAUUAAAAAAAAACACAAAUAUCAGAAUCAAAUUACUAUUUUUAAAAGAUUGGAUUCCCGAAACUAAAUAAUUAGAAUUCGUACCGUACCGAUCACGUUAAAGCUAUCUCAAUAAUGGCUGUCAUACUCAUUGUGUACCUGCCACGUGAAAGUUAAUAAAAAUAUCAGAUGAGAGUCAUGAGACAAGUCUUCUUGUCAACAAACUCUUAUUCAUCCCGUCGGCGGCGAAAUAGACUGAUGAUGGAGGGAGAGACGCGUAAUAAGUAAUAAUACUAGCAAAGUGCUGCAGUUUGUGGUUAAAAUAUUAACUGGCUCGUCAAAGACGCACAACGCGCCUGGCAAGGAGUGUGGCCCUUAAACAUGUAAACUAAACAAACUAAUAACCAUUAGAUAACAUUAAUUCAAAUUAAUUCAAAAUAAAAUAAUUCAAAAUCUUGGAGAUAAAAAGGUGCGUUAGAAAUUGUGUUUGUAAUGUAAGCAAAUAAUUUUUGACUAAAUAAUGGCUAUUCAAACACACUUAAUACCCUUGUUUUAUGCAAAACACUAAUCACUUCCUCAUGAUUAUUAACUCGUAUUGAUCUACAACCGGCAGCUCAUUCUGGAAGAUCUAAGUUGAUUGUCAAGUACUUUUUUUUUACUAUAACGAUAACAUUUAUAUAACAUAAUCUAUUCUACUCUAUGUAGAGGGGAAGUCUAAAGAGAUUGUAUAAAGAAUUAAUAGGUUUACGGAUUCAACUAGAUCAAACCGGUGUACUGACAUCUUUUUUGAAUUUUUUUCAUUACAGGUGAGUUUCGAAAUUUCGACCUACAAUCCAGAGAGGGAUUUAAUCCCUUUUUUUUGGUGAUUGAUUGUCAACUUCUUGCUGGAGUAAAUUAUCUCAAUUUCGAUCUUAAGAUCCAAGAAUUCAGGUGAAUGAUUGCUCAUUAAUAAUAAAAUAAAGACGGCCGAUAUUAAUGCUUAGUGACAACUCAUGAUCAUUCUGAAACGUAAUGCGUCCGAUCAAGCACUAAGACUAUUAGAAUUCGAGCUUCUUAAUAACAAUUUAACAGAAAGAAUACACUCUAAAUGACACUGCAUAGCACGUGAUAAGCAGCACUUUUAUCAAGAAGAUCUUAUUAAAAUUAUGUUCCAGCAUGCCUGCGUUCACAUCUUACUCUCACAAACCAGCAAUUAGAAUACUUUGAGGACUAACUCCACUUGACGUCUCUAAACUUGUAUUACUUUUUUACUUUAUAUUCUAAACUUCAAUUUUAGACACUUUACAUCCUAAAUUUUUAAUUUUAGAUACUUUAGACUCAAAACUCUCAAGUUUGUCCCAUUUAAAUUUAAUUAAUAAUUACAUUCACAGAAUUAACGAGAUAAAGGAUGAUUAAAAUUAAUGGAAACAUACUAUUUUGUUCUAACUGCAAGUUCUUAACUUUUUGGACCACUUUCAACAUAUUGUCAUUGAUUUAUAUGAUUUUAAUCACUAUCAUUAACAAAAUUAACGAGAUAAAAGAUGAUAGGAAUUAAUGACAAAGUACUAUUUUAUUUUUGUUAUGAUACUUUGACACCUUUUGAUCAUUUUUUGAGCAUUACCAUUGAUUUGUUUGUUCUUUAUGUCAUUAAUUUUGCUAAACAUUUAUCAUCAAUUGGAUCUAAUUGAACAAACUUGAACGUUUCAGGUACAAAGUGUCCAAAAUUAAGAAUUUAGGGCUUAAAGUAUUCAAAAUUGAAGUUCAGAAUGCAAAGUGAAAAAAUGAUACAAGUUAAAAAAAUGCAAACCGAAAUUAGUCCACAUUUUGAAGAUGCAAAAGAAAACAAAAAAGAAAAAAAAAUCUUCACUGUUAUAUAUUAGGUGAGAAACUUAAGCUGAGAGCUACACUACAAUAUUUAAUUCUCCAUGAGUAUCAUUCUUGGUUUGUUUUUAGCGUGGUACAGGGCUGAAGUAGAAUAUUUGCAAUAAAUCCAUCAAUCUCAACCAUGGGACACCUCACACCACCGCAUUACAAGAUUGUCUAUAUGAUUUUUUAAAAAAAAUAAAACUAGCCAUAAAGUCUACGGCGACCAAGUGGUUGAAAUAGGAUAAAACAAGAAGUUGCAGAGUCCAAUGGCGACCAAGUAGUUGCUGAAAAUACUGCAAAGAUAGCAUCCAACAAGAAAGCAAUACUAUGGAACUUCCUUUCAACUUCAUUGCUUUCUCUCUGUUCUUAGCCUUUGUUUUAACUUUGAUCAAGGGAAUCAAGAGAUCAAAAGAACCCCAGAAACUACCACCAUCUCCUUGGAAACUACCUAUUAUUGGUCAUAUGCAUCAUUUAAUAGGCUCCCCACCACAUCAUGCUCUCAGAAAAUUAGCUCAAAAUUAUGGACCCCUAAUGCACAUUCAGCUAGGUGAAAUAUCUUCGAUUGUGGUAACUUCACCGCGUUUGGCAAAGGAGAUCAUGAAAACUCAUGAUCUUGCCUUUGCAGACCGCGGAGAAUUUCUAUCUGGAAAGAUCAUAUGCUACAAUUGUUCAGACAUCGCUUGCUGUCGAUAUGGUGACUACUGGAGACAAAUGCGUAAAAUAUGCACCUUGGAGCUCCUUAGUGCUAAAAGUGUCCGAUCAUUUGCUUCUGUUCGCCAAGAUGAGGCUUUGCAUCUGAUAUCAUCGAUUAGGGUUCUAGCUGGUGCUCAAGAACCAAUCGAUUUAACAGAAAAAGUGUCCUCAUACACCAGUUCCGUGGUUUGCAGAGCAGCAUUUGGGAAAGUAAGCAAAGAUGAUCAUGUUGCAUUCUUACAGCUACUCAAAGAAGUAACUCGCCUAACAAGUGCCUUCGAUAUUUCUGAUCUGUUUCCAUCAUUCAAGAUUCUUCAUUUUCUCCUUUCAGCGGAAACUAAACUUCUUAACAUCCACCACAAGGUAGAUAAAGUUUUGGAUAAGAUAAUCAAUCAGCAUCUUGAAAACCUAUCAGAAAGAAAAACAUCCACAGGUGAAUACGGCCAUGAAGAUUUAAUUGACGUCCUAUUACGAGUUCAAGGAAGUGAUGAACUCCAAUUUCCAAUUACCAACAACAAUAUCAAAGCUGUUAUUAUUGUAAGUAUUCGACCAAUUUUUGUCCGGUUAUCACUACAUCUUUUAGUCUCUAACCAAGAAUUUAUGCAUUGAAUUUGGUGCAGAAUAUAUUUGCAGCAGGAAAUGAGACUUCAUCCACAACAGUGGACUGGGCGAUGUCCGAAAUGAUUAGAAAUCCAGGCGCGAUGGCUAAGGCACAGAGUGAAAUAAGGAAUGCUUUCAGAGGAAAAAACUCGAUUGAAGAAACUGAUAUUCAACAACUGCAAUACCUAAAGUUAGUGAUUAAAGAAACUCUGAGGUUACACCCUCCUGCCCCUUUGUUGCUUCCAAGAGAGUGUAGGGUGGAAUGUGAAAUUGAUGGAUACAUCAUCCCUGCCAGAACAAGAGUGUUGGUCAAUGCCUGGGCAAUCGGAAGAGACCCUGAGUAUUGGGAUGAUCCAGAAUGUUUCAAACCAGAGAGAUUUGCAAACAGUUCCAUUGAUUUCAAUGGAACUCACUUUGAGUAUCUCCCAUUUGGUGCAGGAAGGAGAAUUUGUGCAGGGAUUUCAUUUGGAUUGGCCAAUGUUGAGCUUCCUUUGGCUCUUUUGCUCUAUCAUUUCGAUUGGAAACUCCCAAGUGGCCUCAAUUCCAGAGAUUUAGACAUGAAAGAGACUGUUGGAAUAGCUACAUCAAGAUCAGACAAUCUUCGCUUGAAGGCCACUUUAUAUGAUCCAUGAUAUAUCCUUGGUUCGACAAACCAAAUUUUGUAUACAAACUAAAGCUUGAAUUGGUAAUAUCUGCAGAUGCUGCCGUCCUCUUUGACAACAAGCAAGUUCAACUUGAUGGUUUUGUGACUAUAUUAUGAUAAUCAUCUUUUGAUAAUAUUCUUAGCCUCUUUUUUGAGCAAACUUCUUUAUGAUUACAUAUAAAACAAAUACCUAGUAUAUGAUCGGGUUGUUUAUAUAUCUCAAAUUGAGUAAUCAUUAAAAUGUUUCUUUUCAACUACAAUGGAAUUCGUUACAUUUUGUGAAUGAGUAUAAUUGUGGGACGUGAGUUCAAGUUUGAAGGGAAUUUUGAAAGAGUGGUCGCUAAAAAUCAAGGUUGAGUUUGAUGAAGCUUAAACUUGACCUGCAUUCAGGCUCGAUGCAUUGUCAUUAUGUGAAUAAUUAUGUGUUGCAAACUGUCAAUUAAGGUUAAUCCCAAUUUAAGUGAUCAAAUAUAGUUUGAGUUUAAUGUAUCUAAUAGGGUGUGAGCCUUUAAUGUAUAGAGAUUUAAGGGCUCCUAUUUCUAUGAUGGGCUGAAAUAGGGUUCCAAAGGGUAACAAGAAUGCUACCUAUAAAUAGGGUCAUGGUCCCACGGUCACACGAAUUCUUAUUUUGUCGUAUUUUCUAGUACCACAAAAUAUAGCUCUUCCCUGAUAUCCCACCGUCAGGAAAGAUACUAAAGAGAUACUAAGGGCUCUCUAAAAGGAUUGACAAAUACGUUUUGACCUGGAAGGCCACCUCAAUAUCUUUGAAGAUUCAAAUAUCAGAUUGUCGAUAUGAAUCCAGGUACGCUUCCGCAAUUUUUACUGUUGUUUUAUUUAUUAAUAAUCGCCAUAUAGAUUUUGGAUUUAAUAAGUGAUAAUUUUCACCAAAGAUUAAAUAUAAAUAACCACCCUAACAUGUCAAGCUUACCCAAAUUAAGCUUCAGUAAAUAAAAAUUACUAUGCAGUCAGGCUUGAACUCUAUUCUGAUUAACUUGAGUGGAAUGAACUAUCCGAUAUGAAAAUAACUCAACUAUACUCCUAAUUAAAAUAAAGAUUAACUGUGGCUUAGAAGGAAACAUUGGCGUAAUGCACUUGAGAAAAUAUACAAUCAUGUAAAGAAUGUAAAAUCAACCCCAACUCAAUAGCAAUUUUAUUAAAAAAAAAAAAGGUUUAUACUUAUGACUUGUAUAUGCACAAUCGUUCAUGGGUGCACUAUAUCAAAUUAAGUGGAAUAUAUAGGCUGUCUUUUUUUUUUUUUAAGGAAAAUGUGUGGGCAGUCUAACAUCAUCCAUUCUCCCUAGGUAAAGAAUACUCUUAUAAAAUUAUAUGUGGCAUUUGUGAAUAAGAUACAAAAUUUGGGUUCAAAAGUUUGAUAGGAGUGUUAAUUUCUUAAUUACAUCGACGACGACAAAUCGUUGGUUUGACAAAAUCUGGUUGGACAACUUAGUAGGACCCUUUUUUCAAUUUGAGGAUCCCAAAAUGGUUUCUUAUAAAAUAAAUAAUCUUAAUAUCAAUUACUCAUCCACUAGGCAAUGGCUCAGUGGUCACCAGGGACUUAGGCUGUAGGCGAGGAUUCAAACCUCACCUGCAGCGAAAAAAAUCUAAGGGUUAUGUUAUAACACUCCCUUGGUCUAGUUGGGUCUGUAUACCCACUAGUCCCUACAACAGUCUCCUUAGGCUUCCCCUCCCCCUAGAUUAGGAUAGAGUAGGUUAUACAAAUGUAUUGUUGCUAACAAAAAAAAUAAUAUCAAUUACUCCAAUGACGGUAAAACAGCCAGAGUACUACUAAGACUAUGCAUAGGCUUCAGUGCAGACAUUAAGUUCUUCUUCAUCUCAAGUUUACUAUUAUUUAUUUAUUAAUUUCCUAUUGUUAUUUUUACUUAUUUGCAAUAAAAAUUGCUUAAAUAAUCAUUUUUAUUUGUUUUGUAGGUUUGUGCCAAAAAAAAAGAGCAAAAAAAAAAAAAGGAGGAAAAAUUAAAAAAAAUGAAAAUUUAAAAAUUAAAAGAAAUAGUAGAGGUUUGUUUUGUUUUGUUUUCUUUUGCUUCUAACCCAAUAAAAAUCCCCACAAUGAACCCAACACUAGAUCCACUCAAAACCCAAUUCCUAAACCCCUAAAUGAACCCACUCAAAAUUCAACAAAAGCCCACCUGAGCCCCAGAAAAAACUAGGAAAGAAAGAAAAAUAAGAAGAGGCCCAUUGGCCCAUUUCUUUUCCUUCCCUGAAAAAAAAAAUGCAGCUCCUCAUACGCGUGUAUAGCUGUCAAACAAACCCAUUUAACUAAAUUUACUUAUACCCGUCCAUGAAUAGAUGGGUAUGGGUAUCUUAAAUUUUUGCAUAUGGAUAUAAAUGGGUUAUCCAAUAAUACCAAUUUAUUAAAUGGGUAUUAUUGGGUAACCCAUCAAAUUCAAUUAACCCAUUUAGAAUUGUUUUCCCCUAAAUCUCCUCUCUUCCCCCACCCAUUUUUUUUUCAAAUUUUUUAUUUUGUCAUGAUGUUAACUACUUUAGUUUCAUUAUUAUUAUUAUUAUUAUUAUUAUUAUUAUUAUUAUUUGUUAGUUUUAUCUUAUCAUUUUAUUUUCUCUUCGUUUAUUAACUUGUUCAUUUUUUAGCAUUACCAAUUUAUGAUAAGUUUUAACCUAUUUUCUUACUUUUCCAAAAUGAAAUUUUAAAUUUACACUCGAAAAAAUGCUAGAGGUUCAAAUUUUUUGGAUUAAGUUUUUAUGUUAACUUUUAUAGUACUUAAUUCAAAAUUUUAUAUACUUAUUGUUUAAUUAUUAAAUAAUAUGUAAUUUUGCGACAUAGAGUACAGAUGGAAAAAAAUUGAUAAUUAGGUUUAUUGAGCAUUAUAAAUAAAUAUUUAAAACUAAUGGGGGUCAUACCCCCUUCCAAAGUUUUAAAAAUUUUAAUUCAUAUUGUAUAAAUAUUUGUGUAAAACAAAGUUGGCCCUUCUAUUUUUUUGCAAUUUUAGUUUAUAUUAUGAAAAUAUAUAUGUGUGUGUGUCAGUGUGUAUGUGUGCAUGUGUGUGUGAAUUAACUACAUUUGAAUUAAUUUUUUUCUUAAAAAAGUUAUUUACUUUUUACAUCCCUUUAUAAUUAUAGUUAAUAUUUGAUAUUUUUAGAUGUCAUAUAUUUAAAUAGAUGAAACUUAUUUCAAAAUGAAAUACUUACAAACAUUAUGCAUUCAACUUGAUAAUUUUGUACAAAGAUGGGAACAUUUUUUACAUCAAUCAACUAUUAAUAUGAAACCACUAUUGGUGGUUUAAUUAAUUUUGGUGAAUUUUGUGGAGUUCGUACUACAAAAAAAGUUCAGUGAGACUUGUAUUUCUUGGAAGUGAAUUUGAUGAAUCUUUUUGAAAUAUUUCAGUGGGAUCACUAUAAUGUAACAUUCAUUUUGUGAUCAGUUGUUUUCUCCUUUUAAUCUUGCGGGUUUGGAAUUAAGAUGCCAUUGAAGUCAAUGAUGGAACCAAUGGGACCAUAGCCCCCCCCCCCCAAGUUUUAAAAAUUUUAAUUUAUAUUUUGUAAAUAUUUGUGUAAAACAAAGUUAGCCCUCCUAAUUUUUUAUAAUUUUAGUUUAUAUUAUGAGAAUAUAUAUAUAUAUAUAUAUAUGUAUAUGUGUGUGUGUGUGAAUUAACUACCUUUGAAUUAAUUUUUUCUUAAAAAGUUAUUUACUUUUUAUAUCCCUUUAUAAUUAAAAUUAAUAGUUGAUAUUUUUAGAUGUCAUAUAUUUAAAUAGAUGAAAAUUAUUUUGAACAUAACAUAUAAAAAUAAUUAUGUUCGAAAAAAUUUUAGCCCCUUUAGAAAAAAAAAUCUUGGUUUCGUCACUGAUUAAAAUGCUUGUAAGUGGGAUUCAUCCAUGGUAAGAAUGUGAUACAUAAUCUUUUUUUUUCAGUGUAUUUAACUUGUGUGAUGACAAAUGAAAUGGGAAAAAGGGGUUAGUGAUCAUCAGUUUUGUGAAUGCUUAUGAGAGUAAAAUAUAUUAUGACACUAAGAUGGGUUAAAAACAAAAAAGCCCCCCGUGGUAUACCUAAUACACAGAAAAUUCCCCUAUGGUUUCAAAACAUACAAAACGACAUCUCAUGUUUUGAAUUAAAUUAUAAAUUAAUAGAAUUCAUUAAACUUAACGGAAUCCGGUAAAUUUAACAAAAAAUUUAAUGGAAUCCAGUAAAGUCAACGGUAAACUUAACGGAAUCUGUUAAGUUUAACAGACGAGACUGUCAUUUUCGUUAAGUUUAACGAAUUCUGUUAGUUUACAAUUUAGUUCAAAACAUGAGAUGUUCGUUUUGUAUGUUUUGAAACCAUGUGAGAUUUUUCUAUGUAUUAGAUAUAUCACGGGAGACUUUUUUGUUUUUUACCCCAAUAAGAUGCAUAGAAUUGUAAAAAUUGUAAUUCAAACAUGCUCCUAAAAUUUUGGAUAUAUGACUUUCGUAGUUGCAAGUUUCUUAAAUUAACAUUUAGUUAUUGCUAUCAGUGAUGUAAUAAGUGUGAGUAUUGCUAUUAGUGAUGUGGUAAGUGUCAGUAGUAAUUGUGAGAUAUGAAUUGGAAUUUGCAGAUACCAUUUUGGAGGGGCGGUUAUUAUCUGUUAGUUAAAAUUUAGGAGUUUUAAUUUUGUGGGUUAGUGGGUCACGUAAAUUGAAGAGUGGAAAGGGAUAAGGAGACGACAAGAGUUAUUGAAUUAAAAUAAAUCUAAAAUUAUAGUAAAAAGGGAUUCAUAUUUCUGACGCAUGAUUCAAUUGUGCUUUUUUUUUAAAUGGAUUUAAUCCAAAAUUUAAAUUUACAAUUCCUCCUUACCGUCGAAUUCAAUCCUCUUUUUUUUUUAAAAAAAAAAAAAAGAUUUGAACUCAAAAUUUCUUAUUUACAAUUCCUCUUUAACUUAUCACCCAGUCUAACCUUCCCUCGGUAUGACUCAAUGAUAAUCAUACAUAAGUUGCAACCAAUCGGUCAAAUAAUUGACAAAUAUUCUACCACUACCAAGUGAAUAACAUGGUCAUAAAUGCAUAGGGUUAAUAAGAAAAAUCCUACUUUAAGCGACGUAGGACUUGUCUGACAGACACAAAUUAAAAGAUGCCCAAUUUUUUAUUUUUAGGAGUCCCAUCUUUGAAUUUAUUGCAUAGAGAUAUUGUUCUUUUAGAGUCACUUUUUGUGCAUGAACUUGGUGUAUAAUAUACUUUAUCCCCUUGAACUUUGGGGAUAAUUACAUUUUACCACCUUCAACUUUAAAAAUAUGAGUGUUAUGAAACGCUAGUCAACAUUGGAAAUCUUAACAGCGAUUAAAAACACAUGAGAGUUAUGAAAACAUUGUCCUUUUCUUGUCAAAAUUAUUUAUAAUUUAUAAUUAUUGCCUUUUCCCAAAAAGCAAGUGAAAUUUGAUUUAAUCUCCAUUUUUCUCUUAUUUUUUUCCUUUUUUUCUUAAAGAUGAUCAAUAGUCAUUCCCUAUUUACCCUUUUAACGACUGGAAUGUUGACCUAUUAGUUACAGGUGAAGCGUCAUUCCAACUAAAUUUUACUUCAUUGUCGUAUUUUUCUCUUCUAAGUUUAAAAAUAAGGCAUAACAGCCUUUUUUUUAAAAUAAUUUUGGUUAAGUAUUUAAUAUUUUACCAAUUUAACAACCAAGAAUAAUAAUAAUAAUAAUAAUAUAAUAUAAUUAUUUUUUUAAAGAAUAAUAAGUUUAAUAUUACCUUAUCUUUUGAAAAUUUUUCUAACUAAAUUUAAUGUUAUUUUUUUCCUGUAGGGAAAGGGUGGAAUUUUAAAAGUGCGGGAGAAGGGGGAUUUGAAGCAAUUUAUUAUUAUUAUGUUGCUAUUAUACAUAUUGUUUGAUUUAAAGUCCAAUAAAUUAAACAAAUUAUACAUUAAGGUGAACACUAAUCCAAUAGGAAAAGUUUUAAAGAUAAUAGUAAAUAAAAUGUAUACCUUGUUUUUUUCCUUGCGGAUAAAGUGCAUAUUUUGAAAAUUGAGAGUAGUAAAGCGUGAUUAUCCCAAGCUCUAGAGAGGCAAGGUGGUACCCCUAAAUAGUUCUCCAAUUCUUAUAAUGGAUCUAUAGAAUUACAUUGCGGAAAAAAAAAGAAUUGAAAUUAAAUCUUUUGUAGAGAUACCCAUUUUCCAGGAGAGACAGUUAAAAUAUCGUGACAGUGACGUUUUGAUACUGAUACCACCAGGACCAUACAAAAAAAAAAAAAAAGUCUUAAGAUGCAAGUUUCUUCCUCUUCACCUAACCUUCCCUUUAAAAGCAUGCUCAUUUUCUGUGGUUCCCGUGUGGUGUGUGUUUUAAAUGUAUUAAUACCCCCAAGUGAUAGCCUAAACUAUUAGGACGAAUUCAUUUAACCAAUUGGUUAUCUACUUAGCUUCCCAAUUUUUAUUCCGAAGGUUUUAUGGUGGGUUCAAAAUUUAAUGACCUUAUAUAAUCUCUAUUUUUCUCUUCUAAGUUUAAAAACAAGGCAUAUCAAUCAACCUUUUUCUUAACAAUUUUGGUUAAGUAUUUCAUAUUUAACAAUUUGACAUACAAGAGUAAUGGUAGUGUAAUAAAAACUAUUUUUUAAGAAUACAAGUUUAAUAUUAGUUGAUUUUUUGAAAAUUUUGCUAUAUCAUUUUGCUGUUAUUACUUUGUUAUUAUCCUUAUUGUUUGAUUCAAAGUCUGGUAAAUUAAACAAAGUAUAUAUUAAAGUGACUGUUAAUCCAAUAGAAAACAUUUUAAGGAUAAUAAACAAAAUGAAAACAUUUGUUUUUUUUUUAACCUUUCAUCAAUUGGAGAUUUUUGUAUAGUAGAUAGCAUGGAGAAAAAUGUGUGUUGUUAGCAAUAGAAAGGAAAUACUAUUAAGUUAUAAAUAAUCAUAUAUUAAAAGGCAACUACAUCAUUGUACACACUUUCUAUGCAUUUCUAACUUUGACUAGUUUUUAUGGGGCGUAAAGUGUAUAUUUUGAAGAUUGAGAGUGGUAAAAUAUGAUUAUCUCCAAAGUCUAGACGAGCAAAGUGUUAACCCUAAACAAAUCUAAAAUUUUUAUAACAGACCCAUAGAACUAAAUUACAAAAACAGAAGAGGAAUUGAAUUUAAAAUAUUUUUUUUGGUGAUACCUAUUUUCCAGGAGAGACAAAUAAAAUAUUCCAACAUAGCGGCUUUUUGAUACCGUUACCACCAAGUAAAAAAAUAAAAGAAAAUCUAAACAUAUAUGUUUCUUCCACUUCACCAAAUCUGACAUAGGUGGAUGUCUACCGCGAUAAAGUAAUCGACAACUCAAAACGCUAGUUUAGACGACGUGCUUAAUAUCCGUAAUGAAGAAAUAGAUUGUCGAUAGAGUUCUGACGUUUCCGGCUUAUGUAUUGCGAUAUAAAGGACUUUUAUUGUAGUCAAUUUCUUUCUUUUUCUUUUUUUUUUUUAAAAGAACGCAGGGAUUUUAAUAAAAGAUAUUUUAACACAGUUUAAUAAAGGAUGCUAAAAUUAGCGGUCCAAUUACACUAAGCUUCUUGUCAUCUUGUCAUGAUAAUUUCAAACAUUUUUGUUUUGAACCUCCAAGUUAUCAUCUUUCUUUCUUUUUUCUCAUGACAAAUAUUUUUAUUCUCCCCUCAAGAAUAUUAAGUGUGAAAUCGUGAUCUUAAUAAACAAAAUAUGCUCUAACAUACCAAUUCGGGAUGGGACUUUUAUGAAUUAGUAAAAAUCAAAUGAAAUCAUGAGCAAACUUUUUUAUCUCAUAAAAGUUGAUCCAUUUAAUUUGAAGUUUCUUUAUUCUUUUGAUUUUCACUUGUAUUGAAAACUUGAAAAAGAUAGUGUGCAAUCAUAUGACGCUAACUAAAAUCACUAGUUCUAUAUGAGAAGAGUGAUGAAAAGUUAAAUGUGUGAUUUGAUAAGUUGGAAAGAAAUUAAUUUGUGAGAAAGCAUAACUUGCUUUUAAACCUAGCGAAUAGUUUUUAGAAAGAUAAUUUGGUUUGGAGCAAUUUAUUAUUUUCCCUGUUCAUGUAUUUUCCUAUAUCGAUUAGCAAUUUAGAACACAAUAUUUUCACUCGGUUUUGUAGGCAUUCCCAAUAUUCGUUUUGAAAGGAAUAGAAUGAAAAAUAGAAGUUUUAAAAUUAUGACAAAAAGAUUAGGGAUAAAAGAGAGCAUAAUGGCCCCAUAUAUUGGGGAAUUGAAGUCAAAAUUAUGAGUUAGUUGAAUCAUCAAAAGAUAGAGAUGGAAGUUGAUAGGAGGCCUUCUAUGCAAGGAUAGGAAACGUGUGGUUUAGUAGUGUUUUUGGAGAAAAAUCCACUUUCCAUCCCUAAAUUUUGAGAUGGGGGCACAUUUCAUCCCCAAACUUUCAGACAAGCAACUUGAACCGCUGGAAGUACUUAUUAUAGAUAUUUGAGGCUAAAGGUGACAAUUUUCGACACGACCUGAAAACACGACACGAAUCUAACACGAAAUUAAUGGGUUUGGGUUGAGAUUUCGGAAAUUCGGGUCAGAAUUGGGUUGAACCCGAAAAGAAAACAGGUCGAUUUCGGGUCAACCCGUGGUGACCCGAUAUGACCCGUUUACGAAUUAAAAAUAAUUUAAUAAACAUAAAAAUAAUUUUAUCUAACUAAACUAAGUUAUUCUUUUUUUCAAAGGCAUUAAUUACUUAAUCCUAAAUGAAUUUAUUUAAUUUGUGUGAAGUUGAAAUUAUUAUAUUUGGACAAAUAAUAUAUUAUAUUAUUUUUUACUUUUAUACUGUUUUAAUUUAUUUUUUAUUUUGUUUGGGAUAAAACACUUUUACGGUGUUUAAUUUAUUUUAGAUUUGGUUUGGAAUUAUUUAUUUAAAUUUUUAUUACUUGAUUAUGUAAUUAGUUUUGUGAGAAAUUAAUUUUAUUAGAAAUUACAGUGAUAAAUUAAUAAAUUAAAAUUAAAUUUCGGGUUAUUUCGGGUCGACCCGCCAACCCGCCAACCUGAAAUUUUCGGGUUCAGGUCAGUAUAUCUGACCCGUCACAGAUUGGCGGGUCGGGUUCGGGUCAACAAAUUUUCUGAAGGGUCGGGUCAGACCCAACCCGCCAACCUGAUUUGGACCCGAAUUGCCACCCCUAUUUGAGGCUCUAUACCGGUGUCCUAUUUGUGGCCUUAUUUAAAGAAACAAAAUUUGUGUAAAAUACCAUCUACAGUGAUAAAAACCUCUAAGCUAUUGAGAAACACCAAAAUGAAAGUGCAUUAGAUAGGAUAUCGGUGGCGGAGAAAAUAAAUGUCAUCAUUUUUUUAAGACAACUAUUAUGAGUUAUCGUAAAAUUUUAAGACAAACAAUCUAAAAAUCAUACCAUCCAAACGGACCACGAAGUGUGAACAUCUCAUUAUAGACUAAUUAAUGACAUCACAAUGCCAUGGUAAAAUUUGACAAUGUGAAUUGGCCGACUAAAAUUAGUGUCACUACAAGAAAUUUGGUCAUUAGUGACAACAUUUCUCAGCGACGAAAAAAAAUUGUCACAGAAUGGGGUCCUUUAACCACAAUACAGAAAGUUGUCACAAUUGAGUCAAGGAAGCCAACACAUCAGUGACGACCUUGCAUUGUCGUCACAAUUCGAUUCCCGCCAGGAGCCAUGAAGAGAGCAGGAACUGCAACAGUGACAACUUUCUAAAAGUUGUCAGUAUUAAUAGCACUUUCUUUGACAACUUUGCAGUUGUUGUCACUGAUAACAUUGUAUAGCCGUUAGUGACAACCUAGUCUUGUCACUGUUUGAUUUAAAAUAUUGAUUGCUUUUUGCAACUAUUACUCCUAAUUUUUUGUAAUCAUUAUGUGUUCUCUAAUGGUUUUUAACUGUUAUAUACUUAUGAGCCUCCUUAUUAGUUUAAUUGCCUUGUAUAUAUAAUAAUUUCAUUAGAAUAAAAAUAAUUAAAAAAUAAAAAAUUCAUUAGUGUAAAUAAACUUAUGACUACUUAACUUAGAAUGAUUAUUAGUUAAUUUGAUAUGAAUAUAAAUAAGAGUUUUCAAAUUGAACUAGCUAUCGUAGUGGAUAAAUCCUAAACUCCAUACUUAAUUACCUAAUACACUUUAUGUAUUAGUUUAAUUGUGCAUUUUUUUUCUUAUUUGAAGAUAAUGGAUAAAUAGUGAAGUUUUGUAUUGAAUGUUACUUGAAUAUGCGCUAUUUAAAAUGUGGUUUGUUAAUUGAAUAUGCUCUAUUUAAAAUUUCUACCAAUUACAAUUUUGACACAGUAUGGUUAAUAAUUUUUGAGACAGUAUGGUUAACAACAAAUGGUUAAUAAUACAUUAGUAAAUUAUUUUCAAAAAAUUUAAUAUGUUAGUAAAUUCAAAUAAAAGUUAAAGUUAUAAAAUUGAUUGAAUUAACUAGUACCGAAAUUUUGUGACGACAAAAUAGUAAAAACGUUGGCGGGGACUCUUUUGUUGAAAAUUGGGAGAAAGAAGCACUCUUUAACUCAUAGUACUCUCCAGAGAGAUACAAGCCACCGUUCCUUUUCCCAAACUCCCCACUCUGACUCUUCACUUUUCUAUCUCACAUCCCUCAAAGAAGAGAAAACACCCUCCAUUUUCCAUAAACUCUCGACCAAAUAUGGAUUCCCCAAGCUGAAAUCGAUUCAUUCUCCCCUAACUCUAUGGUAAGUCCUCUCAUAUCUCUCUUUGUUUUUCUUAUUUUUCCCCCAAUUACAUUGCCCUAAUUUUUUUUCUUUUAGAUUGUUUGAGUUGUGGGUUCAAUAAUCUCAUAGAAAGAUUUAAGUUGUGGGUGCAAUAAUCUCCUUCUCCGUUGCAUUAAUUCUUCCAUGUAUUAGAGCUUCCAUCCUCAAUUCUCUAGAUUACCGAAAAGCCCAUAGACACUAAGAACUUAAAAAAAAAAUACAGGAAUGGGAUUAAUUAGGACUGUUUUUCAUUCUUGGUAGGUAUGUUUUUGGGGUAUAUUUAGCCCAAAACUACAACGUCCCCAUUGUUCUAAAGCUCCGGACUACUAGUUUGGUAAUUAUCAACCACAUUGAAGAAAAUUACCGUAAGCCCAAGAAUCGACACAUUGGUGAGUAGUUGGCCAGCAUUUCUGGCGUUAUGUUUAGUCCACCAGGUGUUUGAUUUGAGUUUGUUUUUUGUUUAGGGGAUACCUUUUGGGAGGAUUUUUUUGAUAUAGAGAGAAAGGUGUUUUGCAGGUUUGUGGUUUAUAAAAUUUAGUGGAAGGAUUACGAAUUUAGUUAUAGAUGUUGGAAGAGGGAAAUAAGAGAAUUUUAAAGAAUAAGACACUUCAAAUUUUGCAAGUAGAAAUGCUCCCAAAGAAGGUCAAAUGUUUUGUUCAAGUAUUCUGCAAUCUGUCCAGCAUCUUGUAUGGUCUAUUUUGUCUCAUUUAAUCCUGUUACUGGCUUACUGUUGUAUUUUUUGCUUGUUAAAAGUCAUCUUUGGAGCAUAGAUUACUUUUGAUUAGCUAAAAUGAUCUCUGGAACAUAGUCAUCCCUGGUUGUUAAAAAUCAUUUACCACUAAUUAGCUGAAACACAUAUUACACUUGACUAUGCUUGAUUGUAACGACUAUGCUUGACUAUCCUUUAACUUUUGAGUUAUAAUGUUCUAUUUAAAUUCAUAGUUUCAGGCCUUAUUAGAUCCAUCUACAUAUGUACAAUUUGAUGUGAAUUAGACUCCAAAACCUUAAAUUGUUUGUCCUAUGAUUUGUAUUUUUUUUUCUAUGCUUGAAGCUGCUGACUUGGGUUCGGUGUCUCAGUAGGAGGUUGUCAUUUAGCUACUUAUACUGAUUAUGUCUUUGUAUACAUGGCUAGAAUAUAUGGGUUCAUGCUGCAUCAGCUAGUCAAAAAAUUGCUGCAGCAUCAUCAAGGGAUGGAUUGGCAUCUCCUACAUCUGUUGAGAUGCAAACAUAUAAGCCUCCCACUGCAGCAGGUUGUAUCUAACCAGUCCGUUGGUGGAAAUAAUACACCUAAUGAGAGCAAGGAUCUUCAUGACAAUGGAAAUGGUUUGUAAGAUCUACUUGUAACUGCAUUACAACUUAAUAUAUCUCAUGUCAUGUUUCAUUAUUUAUAUUAAUAAUCUUCUAAAUUGUGACAACUUGCUAUAUUGUGGUUAAAGGACCCCAUUCUGGUUGUUGUCGUUGGUAGUGUAAAAUGUUGAUCACACUUUCUGCUUCUUUCCCUCAUUAGACAAACCUAUCCAACAAACUUAGAAAACAUUAAAUUAGAUGUGUUUUGCUACUAGUUUUUGGGGUUGGUUUAGUUUAUCUAACAAGCUAAUUUGAGCUUUUGUAUGGGUACGCAGAACAGGAAUAGAUGGGAUGUUAUGUGCUUGAUUUGACCCAGUUUUUUUCAUCCUCAAAUUGAAUAUGAUUGAGUAGGCUGGGUAUGUGUCAUAUGGAGGGAUUGUUCACGACUAGAAAUCUGCUUCGGUUAUUCUUUUCCAGACUUGGGAUUUGAUGUUGUAUAGUUUAAGAUGUAUAAUUUUAGGAAUGGCUUAAAUUAAUUGGAGCUUUCUUUUGCAUCUUUUGUAAUGGUACAUAAUCUAUCUUGUUUUUAAUGAAUUGUUGUUAUUUGUUCCUGACAUAGACUUUAGUGAAAAUGUGUUUUAUUUGAUUGGGUUUUCAUUGUUGGUAUUUGGCAAAUUUAAGUUUCCAUACAUAGUGCUCUGUCUUCGGUAUAAUAUUACAUGUUCUUAUUCUUGAUGUUGGGAUAAAGGGCUGCAUAAACAUGGAUAGGAGUUGGAUGUCGAUUAAGAAUUACAUAGAUCCUAAAUAUUUAGAUGGAGUCAAUGAACCUAAAUGUUUAGGAAGAGAGUUGAAUGAAACUCAGGUCUGCGUCAAGCUGCAAAACCUGAUGCAUAGCAGCCUGCAUCAGCCUGCAAACCUGAUGUACAACAAACAAUAAGUGUCCAUCAACGUUUUCCAGCAACUUUAUACCAAGAAUUCCAUCGGUUAAGCUAGAAAGUAUUUUAACAGUGGUGCGGUUUACUACCCAAGUUCCAGCCAUUAAAAGCAGAUUUUUUGCCCACUCUAAAUUUCACAUGCAACUCCAGAUAGUGAACAUGCUAACAUACUUCCUGAGUUUAGUUCAUUUACACUUGAUCAGGCAAGAAAAUUGAAAGGAACUGCCUUUACACUACUUCGGUCCAAGCUGAUAAGUUUCUAGGAAAGAAACUAGCUUUACUACCUAGCUUUACUUCGGUCCAACCUCAACUCUUCCAUGCAUCAGAAUUCGUCUAGAAUAUAUACGUAGAAGGUGAUGGUGUUUUAGCUAUAUUAUCUGGUCUUUUCUACCCGACACUUCAAGCGUAGAUCAGUUCACCCCUCAUCCUUCUCCUCGGCUGGAAAACAAUGAGAAUUUCUGGUAUCUUUUUGGCUGCAAAUGGAGCUGGACUCUAGUUUCCUCUCUUGGUUGAAGUAGAAGCAGAAGCUUUGUUUUCCCUCUUUCUCAAAUCUUUCCCUCAGGAAGACAAUUUUCCUCCACCCCCUUAGCUCUCUCUCUUGUUUAUCUCUCGGCCUUAGUGUUUAGGAAAGCUCGGAUUACUUCUUUUUGGUGGGAAGUGGUAGACAGGAGGUUAUAAGGCGCAUUCCCUCGGUUCUACUGCCUAAACCGACCUUUAUUCAUUUCUCAAUGCACCGCUUCUACUAGCAGCUUUAGUAGCUGUUUCCAUUGUUUUUUUUUUAUCUUCACUCACCGCCCCAAAUUCAGCUAACUUCCACACUUCACCGCUUAGCUUCUAUUAGGUGUUUGUGUUCGGUUCAAUGAAAUGUGAGGAUGCUCACCUCGGCCAUCCCCGCACGGUCGAGGUGAACGCAUCUCGUCUCUUAUACGAGCAUAGUCAUGUCCUGAGCAUGACCCCUGAACUCGGCCGGAUCCCUAGUCUACCGCGUAGGCGGCCUCUACUCAUCAGGCUUCCACCUCAGCUGCACGUUGCUGAUGUCAACACAUCUGACAUCACCCAGGGCCAGUGCUUUAGCUGAAAAGUACCGGAUGCAUUUAAUGUCUACUACGUAAGGAUCCCCGUCAUCCUGCCCAGGCGGCUACAGUGUCAGAGUCAGACUUCCUGACAGGGAACAGAGCCGUAAUGCCAGGAUGUGGGUCCCACCAGCAUGAGUCCCCCCGUCCUAUCUUUCACUCUCACUCUAUAAAGACUCCCCAUGCAUUCCCAACAAGUAAGCAUACUGUUCACUCAUUCAUACUACUAUUUUUCUCAUUCUCAUAUUAACUUGAUCGUCGGAGUGAUCCCAGGAGAGAAGCCCCGCCAUCCACUUCGGACAAACAAAGAUACACCACCUCGUCUCAGAGAGGACUGAUUUAGGUCGGUCUAUCUACCCUCCAAAAAUCACCUCUUCAAUUGGCGCCGUCUGUGGGAACGAGAUUACUGCUAUAAUGAGAUCCACACGUUCCAGAACCGGAAGAGUUCCCUCAACCGGGGCUGGGCAAACCUCGGGAGCCCAACAAGAUCGCAUCUCUGAAGAAUGAGGGUCCCCAAGAAUCCAGCCCAACAACGAGGACGCCAUCGCCAAGAUGAUUGAGUUCGUAGCAGACAACCCCAACAUUUUCGAGGAACUAGGGAGGUACUUUUAAAAGGCAGGGGAAAGAAAAAGACGAGUCCUCCAAGAGGAGAUCGACGAAAUCCCCUGAAGUACCUUCAGGUGAGAACUCUGAUGAGGGGGGACUCUCUCGGAGUACUUUCAGGCGUGCCUCUACCAAGGCAACCUCCAAAAUUGCCUCUAUCUCCCGAGCAUUUUUCCGGGGACUAUUAGGAAAACGAGUCGAUGACCCACCUCGGUGCCACGGAGGCUUAGCGGCCGACUACAUGAGGGCUCCGCCCUUCACUGAUGACAUCAAUGGGGAAAUGGUGCCCCCAAAUUUUAAGCUCCCAAACUUGCACUCCUACGACAGUCGAAGUGACCCCGAGGACCACCUCCGCGCCUUCAUCUCUGCAUUUCGACUCUACUGCGUCCCCGACGCCGUGAUUUACCGGGCUUUCCCCAUUUUCCUACAAGGGACAGCCCGAAAAUGGUUUUGGGGCUUAGAGCCGAUGAGCAUUUCCUCCCUGGACGAGUUGAUAAAUCGGUUCAUCCACCGCUUUGUAUCAUCUCGUCCAAUCACAAAAAUUUCAGCUUACUUCUUGAACUUGCAGCAGGGUCCCGGCGAGUCACUUCGUUCGUAUGUUCAGAGGUUCAAUGAGGAGAAUGUGCAGAUACCUGAUCAGAAUGACCAGGUAACCAUCGCUGCUUUCACCAACAGGUUGGUUGCGGGAAUCUUCAAUACUGAGAUACAUCGGUAUUACCCCCGCACCCUUCGGGAACUCUGGGAACGAGUAGAUCAAGGAAUCCGAAGUGAGGACCUAAAUCGCAUGAAGCGAGAACCUCAAGCUGCUCGCACUGAGCAAGAGUCCCGGAGGAAAAAAGACACCGGCCGAGGUGAACAAGACCCAAGUGGCUCAUUGAACCAAUUCCAAGACCGCCGGAGUGUCUUUGAUCGGAUCGUAAAAGGCAGGUCGUCCACCUCGGACGCCGAACUGACACCGCGCAAUUCCAGCAGGUCUCACGUCUUGGUAGUGAUGAGGAAAAAUCACCUCGGCCGAACCCCUCCUGAGAUUUCGGGGAGGAGAGAUAUGAGAAACUCCAACCUCUAUUGUGCCUACCACCGAGAUGUCGGGCACGAGACUGAAGACUGCAACGAUUUGAAGCGAGAAAUCGAGAACUUAAUCCGCCAAGGAUACUUGAAGCAAUUCGUCCGCAAGGAUGGAGCCCUCAACCGAAGCGCCUCCCACCGGGAGAGCCGGGGCCCUCGUCGAGAAGACAGGCGGGACACCAAGAUUCAUUGCCGAGAUCCUGAAAAUCGUAGGGAGAACCAGCGCCCACCGCGUGACGGAUCACCGGUUUACGGCCCUAACAUCGUCAGAGUGAUCAACACAAUCGCGAAUGGCCCAACGGGAAGAGACAGCCAGAACUCCCGGAACGGACAUACCGCCAGGCCGGCAUGGAGGCGGCCGAGCCGAGCUCCCGGCUAUCCGAGGUGAUCACCUACGGUCCCAGCGAUCCUGUCCCUGCUGCCUCCAGCAAUCACGAAGCUCUGGUGAUCGAAGUUCUCACCAAUAAUUACAUAGUCAAAAAGGUCUAUGUUGACCCCGGAAGCUCGGUAGACGUCUUGUACUACUGAACUUUCGAAAGUUUGAAAUUGACCAGAGAGCAACUCACUCCUGUCAGAACUCCCCUUGUCGGCUUCGGGGGACACGUCGUCCACCCGGAGGGCAUGGUAACCCUGAUGGUGACUAUUGGGCGUCAUCCCCGCUGCCGAACUGUGCCUGUCAGCUUUGCGGUGGUCAGGGCAGACUCUCCUUACAACAUGCUGAUAGGCUGGCCCACGUUUAACGCUUUGAGAGCUGUCUACUCCACCUACCACCUGAGUUUCAAAUUCCUAACCCCUGCGGGUGUGGCUGAGAUGAGCAGCGACGUGAACGCCGCCAGGGAAUGCUACCUCGCCACCAUCCAGGCAGCAGUCACUCCCCGAGCCGCAUCAAGGUCUGAAGAAAAGAGGCCAGCGGUCCUCUCCAUAGACAGUAUCGAUUCUCAGAAGACAGGAGAGCCCAGCAGGCUUGAGCCCGAGGAUGAAGUGGAGCAAGUGGUAUUGGAUGAGGCUAGAUCUGACCAAGUGGUCCAAGUGGGGGCCGGACUCCCCUCGCCCCUAAAAGAAGAAAUGAUCUACUUAAUAAAGGGCCACCGAGACGUCUUCGUGUGGUCCGCUGAUGAAGUGGUCAGAGUACCACCCGAGCUCAUGAUCCAUCAGCUCAACGUUAAUCCACAGGCCCGCCCUGUGAGGCAAAAAUGACGGCACUUCGGCCACGAACGCAGCAAGGCCAUAUCCGAUGAGGUUGACAAGUUCUUGCUCACCAAGAUGAUCCAUGAGAUCCAAUCCCCCACCAGGCUGUCCAAUCCAAUCAUGGUCAAAAAGGAUACCGGAGGAUGGAGAAUGUGUGUGGAUUUCACCGACCUCAACAAGGCAUGCCCCAAAGAUUGCUACCCUCUGCCGAGGAUAGACGCUCUCGUUGACUCGGCAAUGGGACACGAGGUCCUCUGCUUCCUAAAUGCCUUCAAAGGGUAUCAUCAAAUAGGAAUGAGUGAAAAGGACAAAGAGAAGACGACGUUCUACACCGACCAAGGUGUCUAUUGCUACACUACCAUGCCAUUCGGGUUAAAAAACGCCGGGGCAACCUAUCAAAGGCUGAUCAAUCGACUCUUCAAAAAUCAGAUCGGCCGCAAUGUGGAGGUCUAUGUGGAUGACAUUCUCGUCAAAAGUUUAACCACUUCGGCCCUUCUGUCGGAUUUGAGGGAGGUCUUCGGCGUCCUGCGGGACUCAAGGAUGAAGUUAAAUCCCAAAAAGUGCGUCUUUGGUAUCACCUCAGGAAAGUUCUUGGGGUAUCUGGUUUUCCGUCGGGGAAUCGAGGUCAACCCCGACAAGGUCAAGGCCAUUCAGGACAUGUCCCCACCUCGGAACCCCCGAGAAGUCCAGAGGCUAAAUGGACGCCUGGCCGCGCUGAACCUCUUCCUGUCCCAGUCUGCUGAGAAAACUCUGCCCUUCUUUAAGGUGCUGAAUAAGGCUGAUCAGUUUGUCUGGACUGAAGAGUGCCAGGCUGCCUUCGACAAGUUGAAACAGUACCUACACCACCUACCCACUCUCGCUUCACCUCGGCCCGAGGAGAAACUGUACCUCUACCUAUCCGCAGCCGACGAGACUGUCAGUGCUGUGCUCAUCCGAGAUGAGGGCACUCAAGUACCGGUCUACUAUGUCAGCCGAGUCCUACGCCGGCCGGAGACUCGGUACACCCAAGUGGAGAAACUCGUACUGGAACUAAUCCACGCAACUCGACAGCUGAAUCCCUAUUUUCUAACUCAUUCGAUCUCCGUUAGGACAGACCAACCUAUCCAGCAGAUAUUGGUGCGUCCCGAGGCUUCCGGGCGCCUCACCAAGUGGGCUGUCGAAUUAGGAGAGUAUGAUCUGUCAUAUGAGCCAUGCACUACCAUAAAAGCUCAAGGUUUAGCCAACUUCCUUGUCGAGCUCACCUUCACGGAGGGUCGAGAAUCCACCUCCACCAUUACCGAGGUGCCCAUCCCACACCUGUGGACGUUGUAUGUGGACGGAUCCUCUAAUGGGGAUGGCAGGGGAGCAGGACUACUCCUAGAGGACCCCCAUGGGGAAGUGUGCUCAUAUGUCCUCCGUUUUGAUUUCUCCGCCACCAAUAAUGAGACCGAGUACGAGGCCUUGAUCGCUGGACUCCAGCUAACCCGCAGACUCAGUGUCUAGCGGAUUCACGUCCGCAGUGACUCCCAACUGGUAGUAUGCCAAGUUCUUGGUGAAUAUGAGGCCAAGGAUGAGACCAUGCAGCGGUAUCUCUCCAAAGUUCACCAGCUCACCGCAUAUUUCAAAUCUUUCGAAAUCCAAAAAAUACCCCGGUCCCAAAAUAGGCGGGCCGACGCCUUAUCCCGGCUGGUUUUCAUAUCAUUUUCUGACCUCAACAAGACCGUCUUGGUGGAGGUGCUGAACGAGUCGGGAUACAUGGAAGAGGUGGCCUGCCUCGUACACUCUGUAGACACAUGGAUGAGCCCGUUCAUCCUUUUCUUAGGUCAGGGAAUCCUCCCCGAGGACCGAGCCGAAACAAGAAAGAUACAACGCAAAGCGGCUCGGUACGCUCUCCGCGAUGGAGAGCUGUAUAAACGCUCCUACCUCGACCCGUGGCUGAGGCGCGUUACGCCUGAGGCAGGACGCCAGAUCCUCUGCGAGAUCCACGAGGGCCUAUGUGGGGCUCACGUUGGCCACAGGAUGUUAGCUAAGAAGACUUUGGUUCUUGGGUACUUCUGGCCCUCCAUUCGACAAGACGCCCAAGACCUUGUUCUCGGCUGUCCUUCCUGUCAAGUCCAAGCCUUUGAGCACCACCAGCUCUCAAACUUCAUGGUUCCCAUCACCUCACCCUGUUUGUUUGAGCAAUGGGGGACAGACAUCAUCGAUCCUUUUCCUAAAACUGUCGGGGGUUAUACCUUUCUGGUAACUGCAGUUGAUUACUUCACUAAAUGGGUCGAGACCGAGCCUCUAAGGACCAUCACAGGGUUGGCGGUUCAAAAGUUCUUUUGGAAAUGUAUUGUUUGCCGUUUCGGCAUACCUCAACUCAUCAUCUCAGACAAUGGGAGACAGUUUGCCGAGAACUCAUUUAGGAUUUGGUACGAGAAUCUCGGCAUCAAGCAACACUUCACUUCCGUAGGCCACCCCCAGGCUAACGGUCAAGCGGAGAAUUUCAACCGAACUUCCUUGCAUGGCCUCAGCAGCCGAUUACACCGAUUUGGAUCAUCGUGGGUGGAAGAAUUGCCCAGUGUCCUGUGGUUAUAUCGGACUACGCCGAGAUCCGCCACACAAGAGACUCAUUUCUCCUUGACCUACUAAGCCGAGGCUGUCAUCCCUACCGAGAUUCUUACACCCAACCCCCGGCUGACAGCUUAUGCGGCCGAAGUGAACGAAGAAAAAAGACAGUUGGACCUCGACCUCGUCGACGAAAGAAGGGAUAUUGCCUCAGCUCGGGUAGCUUCCUACAAGAACACCCUGGCCCAAUAUUACAAUACCCGUGUCAGACACCGUCGACUCCAGCCAGGAGACUUGGUCCUCAGGAAAAACUCAGUCAGCCGAGCUGAAACACAAGGGAAAUUGUACUCGAAAUGGGAGGGCUCUUACCGAAUUAUGGAAUCUAAUCUUAGUGGAUAUUGUAAACUGAGCUACCGAGAUGGCUCACUAGUGCCGAGGACUUGGCACGCCGAGAACCUCAAAUUGUAUUAUGUUUGAACAUUUCAUCAAGUUAUGACUUCAGAUGUUUUGUUAUUUUUCAACACUUCGGUGUCACACAUCCGUUAUUAAAAAACAAGGGGGACAAGUAGGGGACGAAGCGAGAAAUUAAAAGUGUCGAGAUGAGAAAAAAUAGACAUUUCAUUUAAUGAAAAGAGGCAAUACAAAAAGAAUACAUGACCGAGAUCGGAAGUGCUACUAAGAACCUCCCACCUCGGCGUCCCACCUAAACACCUACGAGUCUAUACCCCGGUCUCGGCUCCCUCUUGGGCAGCCUUUUCGCUGGUUUCUUCCCCGUCGGGGUGAAUCUCUUCUUCCCCUCCUCCAUGCUCUUCGCCGACCUUUUCGCCGACGUCUCCCCCAACUUCUUCUUCUUCAUCCUUCUCGAACAGCUCGUCGAGUUCGGACAGCCACUUGUUGAAUUCGUUCCGGAUUUCGGCCAAGUUCCUUCCAACUUAGAGGCCUUCGGCCAUCCGAUCGCACAACUCCUUGGAGUUCUCGUUGUAAUUGGCAUGGUUUCUCAAAAACUCCAAGGUUUCAGAGGAAAUGUGAGUUGCGGCCUCGUCUAUGGCUGAUGUAAAACCAAACAUAAAGCUCGGCGUGAUCAGUUGGCUGAGGUCCCUGGUGAAGGCCUCAGACUUCCGGAAAGCCUCCACUGCCGAGACUCUAGCGUCUUCGAGGGCUAGUUCAUGGGACUUCUUCACCUCGUCCCCCCUCUUCUGCUCUUCCUCGAGAGCCGACCUGAGGCUGUUGAUGGUAGUUUCAGUCUCCUCCUCCUUCGUCUCGGCUUGUUGAAGCCGUCGUUGAAGCUCCGCCUUCUCGGAUUCAGACACCACCAGUUUUUUCUUAAACUUGGAGAUCUGAUUUUGCAGUAUCGGUGCGCCAUCUCGGCCAUAAAGGCUGUAUUGGAGGCCGUGGUCACCAUCACGCUUUGAAUCACCUCGACCGGAGUCAGUUUCCUCGUAAACUCCACGUUCCUUGGCAAACUCGACUGCAUCACCAACUCUUGUGCUACCCGAGGAUGGGUGCACCUAUCAUUAACCGAAAGGGUCCAGUUCGGACACCAAUGCUCAUCAGGGUGCGUCUUGUCCUCCCCGAAAAAUACCGGAGGGUUAUGGAAACGGUUCCAUAGUGAGGACCCCGUGAUCGCAUUGACCGGGGCUUUCAAUUGUUUGCUUCGGCCAUGAGGGGACGGAAGCGUCGUAGUAACUCCGAGGGGCACCCCCUCUGGCACAGAAGAGGUGGACCCUGUGGUCGCUGCGGCCGAGCUGCUUUGGGCUGCCGUGGUGGGAGUGCCCUGGGCUGCCGAGGUCUUGGUCACCUGCCCUUUUUUUUUCUUUGGUUGAGGCGCCGAGGUCUCACCAGAGUUCUUUCUCUUUGACCUCUUGACCACCUCGGUCGAGCCAGAAGUGAUGAUGUCGGAUAAUUUGACCACUGCACAAGAAACAAACAUUAUUAUUUAUCAUAGCCGAAGUGAAAGGAAAGCCACGAAAGAAAAAUUAUAAGGUAUCUUAAGUUUAGUGGAAAAGAAGGGAGACUUGUCAGGAUCAAGUAAGGCUCGGCUAAUCCCCCCGUCGACCAGUACGGCUUCGGGGUAGUUCCAACUGUAUAUCCGAAGUCCUGACCCCAUCAGUUUCUGGAAGGCCUCCUCCUCAUGGUCCCCCGCAGAAGGGUCGGCUUUUGACUUAAUUGGUCUCUACCAAAAACCCCAAGGGAAGUCUACGGCUGGAACGAAGAUGAAGUCACGCUUCCAGUUCUUUAUCGAAGUGGGAGCACCGACCACAAGUUUCGGGAUGGUAUUGUUCCGAUUGCAAAUGUAGAACCACCCCUUAUCCGUCCCGUGUGCCUUGACAGUGUAGCAUCGGCGGAAGAGGUCCACGGUGGGAGUCACCUCCUGAUGUCGGCACAACAUCUCAAAUCCCACCAAGAUGCGAACCGCGUUCGGGGUGAGUUGAGUGAUCCUCACGCCGAAGUGACGGAGUAUGUCCCUGAGGAAUCUCGACGUCGGCAUCCUUAGCCCAGUCUCUAGCUAUUGGACGUAGAUUGCCACCAUGCUCUUGGGGGGCUUCUCGGCUGAGUCAUUCGGCCCGGGCGUCGUGAUGAGAUACCCCGGCCGAAAAGGAUAUUUCCUUAUCACUUUCUCGACCCUGUCUCUUCCCAUACGACUCCUAAACUUCGGCAUCUUGCCGAAAUCUAUCUUGUCUACGUCCCUUGGAGUGACUGGGUCGUGGGGUAUCUCAGUUCCGAACUCGCUAUUGUAGACGAUCUCGGAACCACCUUCACUCAUCUCGGACUAUUCGGAAUCCGAGGCUGCCUCGCUGGUUCCCACUUCGGCUGACCCCUUCGCAGCACUAGACGUGGAUCCUUCUGAGUUGGAUGAAGUCGUCACUUCUAAGACGUCCGGCCUCUCCUCGGCCUGGUAGUUCGGUUUCACAGUCUCCUUAUGGGUUUUAGUUAUUUUGGCCAUGUGUGAAAGAUGAGAUGAAAAGAAAAAUACUUACUAUUGACUACGAAAUCGGAUGAAGUGAUGACUUCAACUUUGAUCUCGACUGACAGAAUGAAUCUCGGCGACGUUCACGAAUUUGCAAACCUGAAGCAAAAAGAGAAAGUGAUGGACCAAGCGGUGAAAUGGACCUCCUAAUUAUAAGGGUUUGGGGGAAUAUGAAGAGGCGGCAAAAAUGCGAAAUGGCGGCCACGUUCGAAUUCAAAACGCCGUAUCCUUCUCUCUCUUCAUUAAUGGCCCGUCCUUUCGACUAACACCCUUUCUACUCACCACGUCCUGUCAACUGACUCGCCUACGUGUCACGCCCUCGCAUCUUCCGGAGCAGUUCUAGGACCCCGGCCUUUGAUGACUUCGGCACAAGGAAGCCUCAGUACCUCCCUGCCCCGGAGCUCCCGGGGCUUGGGGGGCUUAUUGAGGAUGUUCACCUCGGCCAUUCCCGCACGGCCGAGGUGAACCCAUCUCGUCUCUUAUACGAGCAUAGUCAUGUCCUGAGCAUGACCCCUGAACUCGGCCGGGUCCCUAGUCUACCGCGUAGGCGGCCUCUGCUCAUCAGGUUUCCACCUCAGCUGCACGCUGCUGAUGUCAACACAUCUGACAUCACCCAGGGCCAGUGCUUUAUCUGAAAAGUAUCGAAUGCAUUUAAUGGCUACUACGUAAGGAUCCCCGUCAUCCUGCUCAGGCGGCUACAGUGUCAGAGUCAGACUUCCUGACAGGGAACAGAGCCGUAAUGCCAGGAUGUGGGUCCCACCAGCAUGAGUCUCCCCGUCCUACCUUUCACUCUCACUCUAUAAAUACUCCCCGUGCAUUCCCAACAAGUAAGCAUACUGUUCACUCAUUCAUACUACUAUUUUUCUCGUUCUCAUAUUAAUUUGAUCGUUGGAGUGAUCCCAGAGGAGAAGCCCCGCCAUCCACUUCGGACAAACAAAGAUACACCACCUCGUCUCAGAGAGGACUGAUUUAGGUCGGUCUAUCUACCCUCCAAAAACCAUCUCUUCAAAAUGCAUUCUUUUCUCUCGUGGUUUCUAUAUUCUGAUAACUCAAAUUGACCGCAUGGUAGUUAGUCUAGGAUUUUAAGGUUUGUUUGGUCUUUUAGUUGUAGUUUAAUUGCUCUCCAAGGCCUAAAAUUUUUAUGAUUUCAUGUAUGAAUUCCUAACUUCAUUUGUAUUUUCAUGGAAAAUUUCUUACGUUAAUCUAGUCGAUUUUGACAUAUUUAGUUUUAAGAAAUACUUAUUAGACAUGUUCUAGUUAAACUUCUAAUGUAUGUUACGUGCCUAGUAAUAUUUGCAAUUAACACAAUUUACGAUAUAUACGUCAUAUAUUUAUUUAAUUUGUAAAAAUUUUUUCUAAUAUCACAGUAAAUAAAAGAAAAUAUUUUAGAGUAUACAUUUAAUUUCUCGGGUUCUCACAGCUUUUGCCAAUACUAUAUUGUUUCAAUAGCCGUUUGCAAUGAACUUUACUUGAAUUGAAGCUAUGUACACAGCCAAUUGAUUAACAAUGAUUUAUUAUGUACUUAAUUUGUUAUGUUCAUGUGAAUCAACUACAUUUUUGGGUAGAUAAGCUAAUCAAAAUUACUUUUACUUUGAUGUUUUGCUCGUCUCCAUAUUUACAACUUAUUUUUCUUCCUUAAUGCAGAAAAUGGCUAUUCAUUCAACCUUUUUGGUAGAUCAAUGAAUAUUACUGAAAUUUCCAACACUAGAGUCCAUGCCUUUGACUGACCGACAUUGGAGAUGAACAUGUCUUUUGUUCAUGCAGCUCACUUACAAGUUUUCUAUUUCUUUAUUUCAGUAGUCUUUUGUAAAAUGACCUUAAUUUGAUGUAAAAUUUGGGAUGCUAGACCCCUUAUAGAAACAUUUAUUUUGCGAUGUAAAACUUAUAUGACAUUUGGAGAUAAUUUGUGGUAUAUUGGCAUGCAGCUUCUAAUGCAAUUACAACUUUUAUUUGUUUUUUAAUGGCAUGCAAGAUAUAUUAUUUUUCAUUUUUAGAUGUAAUUGUAGCAGGAAAAUCUUCAAAAUUCAUGGUGAUAAAGUGUUGCCACUGAAUCAGAAUUCUCCAUUGAUAACAACCUGUUGUUAUAGAAUUAAAAAGUGUUUAGUGACAACAAAAGUUGUUAGUAAUUGGUCUAUACCAAUGACAACUAUGAAUUAGUUUUAGUGACGACAUUGCUUUGUACAUCAUUGACAAGAUACUAUGUCAUCACUAAAAGUACAAUAAUUAUUGACGAAACCAGUUGUCACAAAACAGUCCCAUUCACUGACGACUUUUAGAAUCGUCACUAUGUACUUUUACCAACCAGCCUUUAGUGAUGACUCAGUGACAACUAGAAAGUUGUCAAUAAAAGUUAUCAGUGACGACUUUUUAUUUUUUUGUGACAAAAAUGGCUUGUCACUGAAGACCAAUUUUCUUGUAGUGUGUAGAUAUAUGAUAAUGACUUUUCGGUAGGGGUGUGCAACGAAUUCGAAAUCAGUAAAUCGAAAGUUUGAAAUCAAAAUUUUUUGAAAUUUUGACAUAAAAAUUACCGACCGAUUUCGAAUUCAAUUUGGAAUCGGACCGAAUUCAAAAACCUGUUUUCCCUUUUUUUUUUCUUUUUUUUAAUGACUUAUCACAAGUCUACCACUUCAUACGAGAAUACAACCAUUCAUCACAAUACUUAUACAACUAUUCGUUACAAUCUAAAGUUGAAAUACAAAACAUCAAAAUUGUCAAAUAAUACAAAUGCAAGCAACAAUUCCAGUCCAAAUUUCACACAAAUAAAGCAACAACUAUUUCAAAUAAAUCAUAAGUGUAAAACAACAUUUCAAAUUUGCAACUUCCAAGAAUGACCUGAAAAAAUAUUCUAUAGUUUCAAGUACUUUUUGAGACCCUCUUUCCUCCUUAAUUCCCAAAAUCAGAAAAAGAAUAAAGAAAAGAAAACAAGCUCUUAGCAUAUCCUAUAGUGGUGAAUCCUUGGAUUUUUUCUUUUUCUUGACGAAAGUGGAAACUAUCAAAGCAUUUGAAAGAGAAAUCACUCGGAUGAUUGGCAGAUGAGCUUGUUCUGUGUCAGUGAAAUUAGUAACAUCCGCAAUGGCGCAAUGCAGUUAGGGAGAGGGCAGAAAAUAGAUAUGUUAUCCACAAAGUAAAACGUGAUCAUUCUUAUACGCAACAUACUCAAAGCAGUAGUUGGUUAAAACUACAUAUAACUUGUUCUCAUAAAUUGACAAGACUAGCUUUUGAUCUUCAGGGCUCUUGCCAUAGUGCUAGUAAAAUAGAGCAUACUCAGAAGCUGUUUGAUGAAAUGCCUAAGAAAAAUAAACCAGAAACACAGAUUAAUAGCAAUUAUAGCAUAGCCCAUAUUAAGUAAAAUCACCCGCAUACCUCAAUUUGUCCUUGAAGAUGAAGGCUGAUGAUGGCUAGCUAAUGAUGGCUUGAAGAUGAAGACUGUCGGGCUUGAAGAUGGCUAGCUUGAUGGCUUGAAGAUGAAGAAUGAGAGUGAGAGACAGUGAAGAUGAAAGCUGAGAAAGUAGGAAAGCUGCUCUUAGUUGAGCUCCUUCUCGACUGAAGACUGGCAGACUGGCGGUGGCGGAGGAGGAAGAAAGGUGAGAGACGAAUUGACGAAGAGGCGAAAGAGCUUAAUAGAUUAGGUUUUGCACUUUUGCAUUUUUGUCCUUUUUGGAGGUUGUUUUGUAAUUUUUGUUAAUUGUUAGAUGUAUUAUUGUUAUUAUGUAUAUAAUAUAAAUUUUAUAUUACAUAUAUUGUAAAAAAAUAUUAUAUUAUAUAUAUAAAACAAAUUCGAAAUUAUAUUUCCGAUUUCGAUUUCCUAUUUCGAAAUCGGAAUUGUCGAUUUCAAAAACUAUGUUUUCAAAUUCGACCAAUUUGAAAUCGAAAUUACCGAAUUCCAUUUCGAAUUAUCGAAUUUGAAAUUUCGAAUUCAAUUUCGAAAUCGGUCGGUAAAUCGGAAUUUUUCAAUUUUGUACACCGCUACUUUUCGGAUUAUAGGGUAACGCUGAAAUUUGGAUGCAUAAAAAAAAUAAAAAUGAAGUUAUUACAUGAUAUAUUGUUACUUCAUUGAGACAUGCAUAUGGUCUAAGUUUUUUUUUUUUAGUACAACAUUAUUACAAUUGGAAGAGAUUCUGGAAAGGAAACACAGUCAGGGGUAGGGAUGGCAACAGGGAGGGGUCCCCCCGCCCCGUUGCCCAUUAAUUCCCCUCACCCUGGCCCCCGCCUAACCCUGCUUCCCCCACAGGGGCACUCGCGAGGCUAAUAAAAAUGUGUUAUAUAAUUUUAUUAUAGUCAAAUUGUAGCAAAUAAUCAAAUAUUAAAAUAUCAAUAUAUCACCAAGUUAUUAUUCAUUGUAAUUUUACAAUUGAAACUCAUAAAAAUAAUCAAACAAAAGUUAUUUGAAUACAAUCUAACAUGAUGAAACAAAUACAACUAAAGUAGUCAAUUUUUCACUUUUAACACAAAUACAAUCACUAAGUCAUUAUUGUGCUUUUUUUUUUUGAGGAAAAAGUAUUAUUGUGUUAAGCGUAAUUAGAAAUUUAGUAUAAAUGUAUUAGUAAAUUUAAUAUAACUAAUUAAUAAUUUCUAUUAGUAUACAUGCAUAAUUAUUAGUAUAAUUGAUAAUAUUAAUUAUAUUACAUAUACUAAUAUACAUUAUAUAAUACAUAUAACUAAUAAUAUCAUUAUUAUAAGUUUAUAACUAAUUAAAUUAAAUAUUAUAGAUAUAUAAUUAGAUACAUACACAUAUAUAUUUACACAUUAUUUUUUUAAGGAGUGACGGGGCAAGGGAUGGGACGGGGGUUUACUCUCUCACCCCGUUUCUAAAGGGCUCCGUCCCAUUAACUCCCGCGAGCACCCACCCUAAUUGCCAUCCUUAGUCAGGGAAUGCCUAGGGAGGGACUUAGUCCCUCCUCUGGUGGCCGAAUGAGCUAGCUAAGUUGGUUAUGGUCUAAAUUAACCCCUGUAUGUAUCUUUUGUUUGACUUUUGUAUGUAGUUAGGUAUUGCUUUUACUUGUAGAAGAGUAUGCGGAUUUUGUCGUAGUUGGAGGUACUUUACCCAAGUUUGACCUUUUGACUCAUCAAAUUUGCUACUUUGGAAAAAAUAAAAAAUAAAAUAUUAUUGCAAUGCGCAAGGCACAUGCUCCUAACUAGUUAAUUAAAAGGAUCAGAAUACUAUCAGAAAGAUGAUUGUCAUGCCAUGGUUGUAAAGAUACAACUUGAGGUUGAACUUACAAGAAGUCAACCAUAUGCCAAGAUCUGUAGAUAUUACCAAUCAAAUGCAAGCCUUACUUUGUUUACAGUGAUUGGUUUUUCAAAUCAGGCGAUGGAUCAUGGAUCAUACAUGGUUGCCAGCAAGCGAAGACUGUUUGCUCUUGAUGCAGUUAUUACAACAGUCUCUGUCAUGUCUAAAUCGUUAGAAUCAAGGCCAUUUGGAAGUCUCCAGUCAAAAUGGUAAAGCAAAAGAGCUAAAGGAAGCUCAACAUUGGCCAAACCAAAUGCAAUUCCUGGGCAAAUUCUCCUUCCUGCACCAAAUGGUAGAUACUCAAAGUGACUUCCAUUGAAAUCAAUGGAGCUGUUUUCAAAUCUCUCUGGUUUGAAAGAUUCUGCAUCAUCCCAAUACUCGGGGUCUCUUCCGAUUGCCCAAGCAUUAACCAAGACUCUUGUUUUGAAAGGGAUAAUAUAUCCAUCGAUUUCACAUUCCUCCCUACACUCUCUUGGAACCAACAAAGGGACUGGAGGGUGUAACCUUAGAGUUUCUUUAAUCACUAACUUCAGGUAUUGCAGUUGUUGUUGAACAUCAAUUUCUUCAAUUGUGUUUUUUCCUCUGAAAACUUUCCUUAUUUCACUCUGUGCCUUAGUCAUCACACCUGGAUUUCUGAUCAUCUCGGACAUCGCCCACUCCACUGUUGCGGAUGAAGUUUCAGUUCCCCCUGUAAACACAUCCUGCAUCAAAGUCAAUGCCAAAAUUAUUUGUAAG
rnacentral:lncRNA from 1 species